UUCCAGCUAAAUCUGCAACUUCCUUCAAAGCAAUCCUCCACCCCUUCACCCGCUCUAUCUCCUCGAAGCGCUUUUCUUGUUCCACAAAUGCAGCAGCGAAGCUCCCUGUUUGAUUUCUGACUUCAGAUGGAUUCACAUGGUAGAAUACCGGCAAAACUAUGGAGGCGGCAGUCCUCUUAUGUUCCAUGAUCUUCACAAGUUCAUCGAGGCACCAUCUCGACCGAGCAUAGUCUUUGGAGAACACGAUUAUCGAUAUUUUCGAUUCUUGUAUUGCCUUCCGGAGCUCCAACUCUAUAUUCUCUCCUCUCCGAAUCUCAUCAUCAUCUCUAAAUGUGUGAAACCCCGCUUGAACCAGGGCCCAGUAGAGGUGAUCGGUAAAGUUCUUGCGGGUGUCUUCACCUCUAAAACUCAAGAACACUUGAUAUUUACAAUUAGAAAACCGAGAAGAGUAGGAUUCUUGAUAUUUCCCAGCAGCCAUUUCGAGUCUAGCAAAAUAAGACUUUACAAAGAUCUGGACAGAAAAAAAAAGGAAUUGCAGGAUUAAAGUCGAUAAUUCAAGAUCGACAGCACGCCAAUAAGCUGAAGUGUUCAUAUAUUAUUAUCUUACUUUUUUCUGGAAGACAAUUUUCAAGUUAUUUCCCAGCAAUCAACUCCUCCAUGCCCUUUCAGAAAAAUACUUGCAGAUAUGAUAAAUCUCUAUGCUGAACCAACAAAAUCGGUUGAUGAGAUCAUCAAUAAUUAGUUUCUAAUAGUGAAUUAAUCGAAGUGAUUCUCAGUUACAGCAGAGUUACAUUUCACAAUAUAACAUAAUACUUAAAAGAGAUAAGAGAGAGGGAGAGAGUACCUGCAAUCUUCACUUUCCCUUCGCUGAUGUUCUGUUAUCAGUCCAUCAACUUUCUGCUUUCAAGUCAACCUCACAAGUCUCUGGGGUCUGGGUCAUUUCCGCGUUAGGACCAUUUUCUUUUUUUAUUCUUUUUUUUUAUUUGCUCAAAUCAUUUAUCACGCGUGGAGUAUAAUUACCAAAAGCGACAUUAGAGACACUCACACAAACACAAUCCCUUUCAUUAACUCACACGGUUCUUCACUUCUUCUCACUUCACCCACCAGUAUCAUCAAGGCAGUUGGUCAGUUGGUCAGUUGAGUCUGAAAUAAAAAAAAAAAAAAUUUAGUGAUUUUAUAUUUGAAUUAUUAAUUACUAAUAUAAUAGCACUAAAAUUUUUAAUUAUUUUUAUUUCAGCAUAUUAAAGAAAAAAUAAAAAAAUAUUUUUUAAAAAUAUAUUAUUAAAACGAAAAACUAAACAAACUUUUAAACACGGAUAUAUUACAUAUCAUACACAGAGUUCUGAUUAUUUGAAUCAUUGGCAGAGGCAGGGAUGGCAGGAGGGGAAGUUGCUUGUUACAUCUUUGUGUAGAUUUCUUCCCCACGACUUUCCUGACCUUCUUGUUCUUUAGGAUUUUUCUUCCCACAUAUAUUAAGAGCACCCAUGGGUCGGGCCAAUCUUACAUUAAUUAACUAUAUAUAAUUAAUGUGUAUAAUUUCUUUUGCAGUGCUUUGUCUUACUUCCAGCGCAAUAUUCCUUUUUCUUUCUUUCUUUUGUGAAAUCCAACACAUCAAAUUAUGUUAAAUUAAAGUCAAUUUUGUAAGACAAUUUUGCAUCAUUUGAAUUGAUUCUAGCUUUUUCUUUCUGUUGAAAGUCAAGUGUAUAUAUAAACAAAGAAUUAGUCGGAAGUUGCUGAUUACAGGAUCAUUGCCCCGAAAUUUGCAAUAGCUUAGCCAUAACAAUUCAGAUUUUUCGGCCAAAUAUUAUAUCGAAAAAUUGAGGGGUAAAAAACCCAGACUCUACCCUUCGUAUUGUUUCUGAUUUCAAGAUAAACAAGACGAUAAGGAUUGCAUACUGACAUAGUAGAAAACCAUGUGAAUAGAUCAAAACCACAUAUCCGGUGCGCGGCGGGUGAGGAUAUUUUGAAUGACAAGUACGUACUCUACAAACUCUUUCUACAGUAGCCACUCCUGUUCUUCCUCCUCGUGAAACCACCUUAACAUCUCAUUUUCAUCAUUUUUCAAUAUGGUUCAAAUAAAAGAAGUUUAUUUAGUUAACCAAACAAAAAUAUAAGGGAGUUAUUAAAUUUUUUUUCUUUAUACCAUCUAAAUAUUUUACACAAAAAAUAAUACGUACCGGAACGUAGCGGGACCGGAACGUAGCGGGAGAAGCAUCCUAGCCAAAGCUAACUAAUGAUGUCCAUGAAGCUCUUACUUGGGUCUCGAAAACCAUUGCAAGCGACACCUUUUUGAAGCUCAGAAAAACAAACAGGCGGAAGUGAAAUGGUACGAAAUAACAGGGCAUUCAUGAUGAAUUAUGACCUUAGGUAAAGUUAAAGCUCUUUCUUUUUCCUUAGAAUUGACUAGUUGCAGUGUAUUCUCAUUAAAGCACGACAGAGGAAAGAUGAAUGGAGAAAUUAUCUCCAUUUCACACUGCUACUUUCUCGAGAACAAUCAUCUCCAGGAAGAAAAGUCUUUUCCGAGGAUCAAUCAGUCAAUUCCUUCAAAGAUUUGUAAUGGUUACAAGGAGAGACAGUAACAAUGUCGGUCGACGUAUCAGCUCGCUAGGAGGCUGAUCCCAGGAGCGGAUGGUUUACAUGAAGGGUGGCGGGGCAUGGCAUCCCAAAACUUUAGAAUUUCUUACAUUUUAGCCCUAAAAUUUUCAGCUUUUUAGUUAUACCCUUUAAUUUAACAUGUUUUGCUUCCAAAAGUGUCCCACCGAUCUAAUUGUCCACAGCAUAUCAACUGGUUCAUUCUGUCUGAGUAAUUAAUCCAGGAACCACUUUCAUGAUCAAAUGCAACAUGGAGGCAGGCAAAUGAAAAGAAUCGAGUCACGAGAGCAUAAAAUGUGAUGCGUUAGAGCUAGAUUAUAUAUCUCCACCGUAAUACAGGUAUACAACGAGAAAUUAUUGGAUGAACUAAAUUCACACAGAUCAAACCAGUUGCAGAAGUUCACUGCACAACCGCUAAUAAUCAAGGAUUCAUAACAUUAAUUCACUAUUUUGAUUUACAUAAUGUUUACGAGUUUUAUGAAUAAAAAGAUUCAUCAUAAACAUUUGUUCAACGAAGAUUCCACCCUUUAGACAUCCCUCGUCACUAUACAAAAAUUUCCUAUAUAUGUAGCCCACUUAAUUUGUUCAAUUGCUGUCCAUUCAAAAAGAUAAUUUAGAAGAAAAUUAUAAAAAAAACAAAAACAAAAAAAACCAUGCGAAGAAAUAUUAUGACAAUCAAUAAUGUUUUAUAAAAAAAUUAUAAAAAUAAAUUCUCAAUCAACUCAAUAUAAAAAUAAAAAAAUUUGGCAAAUAUAAUUUUAAAAAAUAAAAUAGAAAAAUUAUGUGAAAAAACACCGUAGCAAUCCACAGUAUUUUAAAGGAAAAAAAUUACAAAGCAAAAUUUUUAACUAACUCAAUAUUUAAAAAGUAAAAUCAACAAAGAUAAUUCAAAAAAAAAUGAAAAAAAAAGAAAAAAAAGGAAAGUUGGAAAGAGAAAAAAGGAAAGUAAUUUUGGAAAAAAAGGAAACAUUAAACAAAAAAAAAAGGAAAAAGGGAAAGUUGGGAAAAAAAUGCAAAAGAAAAAAAACAGAAAAAGUUAAAAAGAGAGAGAGAGCAAUGCAUUGUGGAUUACUAUUGUAAUCCACAGUUGGGUGUGAGGGAACAGUGAUUUCCUCACACCCUUUAGUUUUAUGUAUAGUAAUUACAAUUAUUAAUCAGCUUAAUAUUUAAAAAAUAAAAUUAGUAAAGACAAUUUUAGGGAAAAACAUAACAAAACAGAAAAAAAACCUUGUGGGUAAAAACACUGUAGCAAUCCACAGUAAUUUGCGAGGAAACUUACAGUGCUUUCUCCACAUAUUGUAAAUGUAAUUUUUAACCAACUCAAUAUUAAAAAAUAAAAUAAAAUAAAAGAUAAUUUCAAAGAAAAUCAUAAAAAAAACAAAAAAAAACCAUUCGAAUAAAUACUGUAGUAAUCAACAAUGUUUUAAAGAAAAAAAAUUACAAAACUUAAUUCUUAAUCAGCUCAAUAUAAAAAAAAUCAACAAAUAUAAUUUUGAAAAAUACAAAAAUAAAAUAUAAAAAUUAUGUGGGAAAAUACUAUAGCAAUCCACAGUAUUUUAAAGGAAAAAAAAUUAUAAAUGAAAAUUUUUAACUAGCUCAAUAUUUAAAAAGUAAAAUCAACAAAGAUAAUCUUGAAAAAAAAAAUGAAAACAAAGGAAAAGUUUGAAAAAAAAAAUGAAAACGUGCAAAAAAAAAUGAAAAAGUGAAAAAAAAAAUAUACUGUAGAUUACUAUUGUAAUUUUCAGUGCAUUGGGUGUGGGGGAACAGUGAUUUCCCCACACCCUUUAGUUUUAUGUAUAUAAAAAAAUAGACAAAUAUAAUUUUAAAAAAUAAAAAAAAUAAAAUAGAAAAAUUAUGUAGAAAAAUACCGUAGCAAUUCAUAGUAUUUAAAAAAAAAUACAAAAUAAAAUUUUUAAUCAGCUCAAUAUUUGAAAAGUAAAAUCAAUAAAAGUAAUUUUGGAAAAAAAAAUUAAAUGAAAAAAAAGAAAAAAGAGGAAAGUUGGAAAAAAAAAGGGAAAGUUUGAAAAAAAAAGAAGAAAAGUUGCUAAAAAAAAAGUAAAAAUAAAAAAGAAAGAAAUGCAUCAUGGAUUAUUUUGUAAUCUACAGUAUAUUAAAUGUGCGGAAACAAUGAUUUCCCGUACCUUUUAAUUAUAUGUAUAAUAAUACAUCAGUCUUUUUUAUUAUUAUUGAUGAAUUCGAUUCAUCAUUUUACAAAUCAUUUGUGUACUAUUUUUCUUAAUUAUUAUUUUAGUCAGAGAGAAUGAAACAUCCCAUCAAUUCACUUGCGCGAGCAAGAUAGAAAAGACACUAUUCUAAAGUAUUGUAAGCGUACAUAAAGAUGGGUCCCUCAAAUUCACCUUCAAAGGAAUAUAUUCAUUUUAGAGAGUAUAUUCAUCUUAAAGAUGCUUGAAAUUCAAGAUAGCAUGCCCUUAAAAUCAAGCCAACCAUUUUCCCACUGGAUUAGAGGCUUCCAAUAUAAUGAACUAAAAGUUAGACAUUAGCUUUGCUUGGUUAUAUUAUAAAGGUACAAAUAGUGAGCAAGCUAAUGUGUUAGUCCAAAAGGCUAGGAAUCUUCAAAUCUAAAUGAAAUGUCAUCUUCCACAUAUGGAUAGAGAGAAGCCAAAAUGCAAAGCAAUUUCAUGGUAAUUAAUUAUUGCCAAGUAUGGUGGGGGGCUGGCCAUUAUGGCCAUACCACCUGCACUUCAAUGUUGACCCAAACCAGCUUGUUUUCCACUUGGUUUACAUGCAUUGGCUUGAUUUGGACGGUUAAUUUGGGACCUCAAUCGACAACUGGUAUUCAAUUAGAUGGACCAAAUCGUAUAGAUGUGAUAGUUCUAUAUAUGUGUAACAUAUAAAUCGUAUGGCUUCCAGAAAGAAAGAAGGAAAAAAAAAAAAACAUUUGAGAUUUUAACUCUUCAUGGAUAUGAACUUGAAGAAACUCUUCAUAGAAACACAAGUCUUUGAGCGUGAGAUUGUUUUUUUGGUGGGAGAGGAAUCUUCCUUUGAUUGUCAAAGACGAAAGCAUUUAUUCCCAUUUGUUAGAUUUCAGUUAAUAGCUUCCAUUUCCCUUUGUUAGAUCUCUCAAGAGUCAAGACUUGCUUUCCAUACGAGGGAACGCCUUUGUUUUAAAAUACUGAUCGAGUGAUUGACUUUGCCACGAGUUGGAUCGACGUUUCAAAUUUUUGGAGUCUAAUUGCUUGUUACUAAAACCCAGUUAACAACAACAAAUCCUGUAUAUUUGGUUUUGAAUAUGUUUGAACAUGGACUGCCUUUUGUUGAUGAUCAUCUUAAUUAUUUACGAGUGAUGAAAUCUUCAAUUCAUAUCGAGACCUGACAAAAAUAAUCUUAUCAGAUGAGAGUGAGUGUGAAAGUUUUUCUCAAAUUUUUAUUUUUUUUUAGUUUUGCUUAUUACAUUGAUUUUUCUUCCAACACUUCCAAUUAUUAAUCUCAGACAUGUAAAUUUUUUACAUAUUGCAGAGAACGAAUCAUUUUAAUAAGACAGCAAAGUUUGAGUCUUUGAAUCAUUGGCAUUGGAAGGGAUGGUAGGAGGGGAAGUUGCUGGUAUCUGUUUCUCUGAUUCUACUCAUUGGGUUGCCCUGCUGGACAACAUUUCUGCUGGUGUCUUUAGAAGACAAACUUAUGCCAAGAAAGAGAGAGAGAGUUUCUCAAGUUGGAAAUGCAGAGUGUUUAACUCAGAGUCCUGUCUUGAACUCUGAGGCUGAGAAACAUCAGUUGGUUUCUUCAAUCUGGUACUACAUAUUCGACUUCCUAUCACUGAAGAAUUUUGGAUGGUUAGAUAUCGGGAGGAAGGUUUAUACUCGGGAGGAUGUAUUACAUAUUCGACUUCCUAUCACUGAAAAGUUCUCUGCGAUGAUUCUGAUAAAGCAGGGUCACGAUGGGGAUGCGUUUGAAGAGGGAUGAUAAUAAGAAAUACAAUUUCUUCUGUGUCCUAGCUGCAUAAUCCUCGUCCAUUCCAUUGAAGAAACAAGCAAUAACAAGGAAUAAGUUCUGAUAAUCAUCAUGAGGAGAGUUGUAACUUUUUGCAAGAACCUUUUGAACUUAACAAUUUGGAAUCACUUCCGUUUCAUGUAAUGCGCUUUCCCAUACUUUUCUACUUUCACUAAAUAAUGAAGAACCAAUAGCACAAAGGGCUAAUGGAAGUCCAUUACAAUGAUGUACUAUUCUCCAAGAUUCCUCCAUAAAAUCUUCAACUGGGUAAGCUUGUCCACAGGCAUGCCAACUCAAAAGAUUAAGUGAUUUUUUGUUAUCUAGAGGUUCAUCUUUGCACUUGACACACUCACCAUCAGCUACAACCAAAGCCUUAUUUCUAGUUCUUACAAUGAUUUACUUCCUUGGCGAAGCCAAUUUCGCGUGCCAACAAUUGCAUUGAAGUGGUCCCAUUUGUCCACAUCAUCAAGAACAAUAAGAUUUCUUCUGCAACAUAACGCAUCCUUAAUAUAAUCCCUUCAUCAACAUCAUGUAUGUCAUCAACAUUGUUUAAGAUAUCUGAAAGAAGUUGCCUCUGUAGUCAAACUACACCAUUGGAUUCUUUUGACUAUUCUCUAACAUUUGAUGGAAAGAUCCUACCUUCAAACUUAUGAAACUGCUGGUUAUAAACACUCUUUGCUAUGGUUGUCUUCCCUACUCCACCAAUCCCAUAGAGUAUAUCAAAGGCAGAACUGUGGGAGCCAUAUUCUUCCAACCAUAAGUUGAUAAGUUUUACUAGAGGAUCUCUUCCGAUGAAAUGAAGGGGGAUAUGAAAUAUUUUACGAUCCAAUUUCUUUGAGACCUUGUCGACAAUAGAUUAGACAAGUUGUGCCUCAUGCCUGCAUCAAAAAGAAAAAUACAAUAUAUGAUAAUUAGUAAGUCUCUCUAUAAAGUUUCAAAAUCUUAGUAUCAUGUAGAAAUCGUUGCAUUUUUCAAGUAAUUAAGAACGAAAAUAUCAGAAAAUGAGAAAAAAAAGUUUCUUUUAUUUUUGUUUUCUUUAAUGUUCACUAAGUUGGGAGUGGUACGGUUUUUUCUAAAUUGAAGAUGUCGCACGUGUGCGGCGUCACGAUGAAAACAUCCACCCUCAAGAUUUUAUCUAAUGUUGCAAAAUAUAGGGAGACAAGGAAUUCUUAUCUUUUAUUAGUGGAAAAAUGAAGUGGGAGUCGCCACCUAAUACUUUGGUCACAAGAAAUUAUCGUAUUUUCUAAUUGUUGGUCCGUCUAUGGUUUAAGAAAAGUCCUCUUCGGUAAAAAGAUCCUUAUCUUAUCGGGUAAAAUCUAACCGCUUUAACGUCAAAAAAAGAAUUUAAUAUCCUGAAUACGUCUUACGUAUAAGAUCAUUACCCUAGAUAUUAAAAGAAAACAAAAUAUUUUUUUGAAGUUUUUUUGAAAUAUUGGCCUAGUUCUCGCGAUUUUAAUAAACUGGUUAUUAAAGCCAAAAUACAUGCUAAUACAUAUUUUUGAAGUUUUCUUUGUUAUAUGAAAGUACAAUAUGAUUUUUUUUUAGAGACUUGGUCGUAUGCAUGAAAACAAAAUAUUUUUUAUGUUUUGCCGAAGACCGGGUAUUUUAAUAUCGAAUUUGUAUCUUUACAGUAUAAAAAUACAAACCGAUAUUAAUUAAAAUGCAAUAAUUUUUUUUACAGAAAAUCACAAAUUUUUUGAAAAAAAAAAAUUUAUUAUUUUUUUAAGACUGGAACUAGCCCGAGUUAAGCCAAUGACCCGGCUGCUUGCUCAACGGCUGUUCAAGUGAAUUAUAAUUCACUUGCUCAGUGAACUUGAACAGUAAAGAGCAACAAUUACUGUUCAAGUGAAUAUUCACUUGAACAGUAAAAGAUAACAAUGAAAAAAAGAAAAUGCAUGCAGUGACAGAAACAAUGCAAUGUGAAGAGAAAUGUGUGAGGCUUACCUAGUAUCUGAAAUAGAUGAAGACGAUUGCAAUGAAACUGCUGCGCAGGAUCAGAGGUGACUGAUUUUGGGGACGAUGAAGACGAUCAACGCUGGGUCUUUUUUCUUCUGGUUUUUCUCUGCCUUUUUUGAAAUGAUGAAGCCCCUGUGUUCUUCUCCUCUCCGUCUUUUCCCUUCCCUUUUCUUUCUGUUUUUCUCCCCUGUAUUCCCCUCUCAGCGGUUCUUGGCGUGGCUGCUGGGAUGAAGAAGAUGAUGAGCUGACGAUGGCGUUGGCAGUGCUGGUGCAGUUGUGAUGGAGAAUGGCAGUGGCUAGUUUCUGGAAGAAUUGAAGAUGAUGAAAAUUCUGGUCUUGCGUUCUUUUUAUUAUUCUGGACUUUCUCUCUGGGUUUCUUCCUUUGCUUCUGUUUCUUUGGUUUUAUUCCCUUGCCUCUGGGACAGCAACGAUGGAGGCUGGUUGCUACUGGUUUUUUUUCUUGCUUCUGUUCGUCUGCUCCUCUGUUAUCGUCUCCCUAUGCUUCCCAGUUCUCCUUCCUGUCUCCCUCUUUUCUUUUUAUUCUCCCUGUUCUCUUUCUCUCCCUCUCUGUCUCGUCUUUCUCCUUUCCGUUAUCCCCCUCUCUCUGUUUUUCUCCUGUCCGUUGUCCUCUCUGGUCUUUUUUUUUUUCUGUCUUUCCUCCUCCUUUUCAUCGUCUUUCUCUGGCUUUUAUUGUUGGUGGGAGAAACCACUGGUGGUGGCUUUGAAACACUCAGAGGGGAUAAAACACAAAGUUUUAUUACAAAAUCCGAAGCUUAUAAUUAACACAAAAACUCACAAUACACACCCUCUCUUUCUCUCUUUCUCUUUCUAGUGUUUCUCUCAAUUAUCUCCACACAAUUUAACAGAAGUUGGGCACUCUAUUUAUACACGAAAUCAGAAUACAAAAAUUCAAACUUUCCAAGUGUGAAGGUGGGUGGCUGGUGGCUGGCGGUUGCGGCUGGUCGGUGGGUGGUUGCCUUCCUUGACCUUCUGGAUGUUGAGUUUAAUAUUCAACAAAUCUCCCCUUUAAACUCAAUCGAGGGAUAUCAUGCCAAGCAUGAACUUUAAUCAAAUAAAUUCUUCUCCUUUUAAUGGCUUGGUGAAGAUGUCCGCAACUUGAUCAUUUGUGUUGCAAGAUAUCAGUUGGACUUCUUCAUUCUUCAUGUGUUCCCGGAUAAAGUGAUGACGUGUAUCAAUAUGUUUGCUCCUUUCAUGAUACACUGGAUUCUUUGCCAAUGCGAUUGCUGAUCGAUUGUCAAUAUAAAUCUCCGUAGGAUUUUCUUGAGGAAAUCCCAAAAACUUCAGCAUAUUCCUUAACCAUAUUGAGUGACAUACGGCUGAGUUGGCAGCAACAUACUCAGCUUCACAGCUUGAUAAUGUUACAAUCGAUUGCUUCUUGGAUGACCAUGUGAAAGAUGUGUCUCCCAUGAAAAAGACAAACCCUGUUGUGCUUUUCCUUUCAUCCAAAUCUCUACCCCAAUCACUAUCCGAGUAGCCUACAAGAUUAAAGUCUUUACUUGAGGUAUAAAACAUACCUUCAUUCAUUGUGCCUUUGAUGUAGCGAAGAAUUCUCUUGGCUGCAUUCAAAUGAGACUGGUCUGGUGUCUCCAUGUAUCUGCUGAUGAGUCCGACUCCGUAGAGUAUAUCCGGUCUGGUACAUGUCAAGUACCUUAAGCUUCCUACUAAGCUUUUGAAGUAAGUUGGAUCAACAUUUCCAACCUUACUCUUCCUCAAUUCCACUCCAUUCUCAACUGGAGUUGAUACCGGAUUGCAGCUUUCCAUCUUGAACCUUUCAAGAAUAUCUUUGGCGUAACCGCUUUGGGAUACAAAAAUCCCUUCUUCCUUCUGCGUUACUUCUAAGCCAAGAAAAUGUGACAUUAGACCAAUGUCAGUCAUUUCAAACUCCUGUACCAUGCUUCGUUUGAAGUCUUCAAACAUGGUAGGGUUGUUGCCGGUGAAUAUCAAAUCAUCAACAUACAGGCACGCAAAUAAGAUGCUGCCAUCUGCUCCUUUCUUCACAUAUAUUGCGUGUUCAUAUGGACAUUUUUCAAAUCCAUUAUCUUGAAAAUACCUGUCAAUUCUGGUAUUCCAAGCACGCGGAGCUUGCUUCAAACCAUAGAGAGCCUUCUUCAACUUGUAUACUUUGCCUUCAUUUUCAGCAUCAAUGUAUCCAAGUGGUUGUUCAACAUAGAUCUCUUCUUCUAGGAAGCCAUUCAGAAAUGCUGACUUCACAUCGAGUUGAUAGAUCUUCCAUCUAUGUUGUGCAGCUAGUGAGAUCAUCAGUCUGAUUGUCUCUAGCCGGGCUACUGGAGCAAAUACUUCUCCAUAGUCAAUGCCUUCUCUCUGUUUGUAGCCUUUAGCCACUAAUCUGGCUUUGUAUCUUUGCACUUCUCCUUUGGCGUUCUUCUUCGUCUUGUAGACCCAUUUGACACCUAUUGCUUUCUUGUUUUCUGGUAGAUAAGUCAGCUUCCAGGUAUCAUUCUUCUCAAUGGCAUGUAUUUCUUCAUCCAUUGCUUCUAUCCAUUUCUCUUCUGUGAUAGCUUCAUCGAAGCUUAGUGGGUCACUAUCUGCAAAGAAACAAAACAGAGUUGUAUCUUCCAUGACCUGAGUGGUAUCGUACAACUCUUCAAGAUUCCUCAUCCUUCUUGGUCCUUCUGAUGAGGAUGUGUGGUGGUGUUGAUGAUGAUGCUCCUGGUGUGUUCCUCCUGUUGAAUACAGGGAAACUGUGCCGGACUUUGUGGUUCAGCUGCUGGCACAAUCGGUUCUUCGACAAGUACUGUUGGUACUUCUUCACCUUCAAGGAUCAAAUCAGUGUUGAUCCAUUGACUGCUUCUUGAUCACCAUUCCAUGCCCAAGAUUUAUCUUCUUCAAAGAUAACAUCUCUACUCGUAAUCACCUUCUUCGUGAUGGGAUUAUACAGCCUGUAUCCCAUCCUUCUUUCACCAUAUCCGACAAAGAUGCAUUUCUCGCUCUUAUCAUCGAGCUUUCUCCUUCUUGCAUCUGGGAUCUUUGCAUAUGCCACACAACCAAAGACUCGUAGAUGAGUAACACUUGGUUUGUGACCACUCCAUGCUUCUUCUGGAUGACUCCUUGCAAACUUCUGGUUGGGCAGCGAUUCAGUAGAUACACUGCACAUGAUACAGCUUCAGCCCAGUAUUGCUUGGGCAACUUCUUUGCUUUGAGCAAACUUCUGGCCAUGUCAAGAAUCGUGCGAUUCUUCCUUUCUGCUACACCAUUCAGCUGUGGUGUAUAAGCUGGUGUCGUCUGAUGUCUGAUGCCUUGUUGUGUACAAUAGGCUUCAAAGUCAUUUGCUGUAUAUUCUCCACCUUGAUCAGAUCACGGUUCUGAUCGUAACCAGUUUGCUUCUCCACAAUUGCUUUAAAAUCUUUAAAACAAUUGAAUACUUCUGACUUCCUCUUCAGAAAGUAUAUCCACGUCUUUCUACUAAAAUCAUCAGUAAAAGUGAGGAAGUACCUAUUUUGUCCAGUCGACAUAGGCGUAAUUGGGCCACACACAUCUGUGUGUACUAACUCCAGUGGCCUCUUUGCUCUCCAGUUGACUUCUUUGGCAAAACUGGAUCUGUGAUGUUUGCUGAGGACACAACUCUCACAGACUUCAUCUGGAUGAUCAAUGUGAGGCAAACCUUUGACCAUCUUCUUGCUUGCUAGCAUCUUCAGACUUGUGAAAUUCAGAUGUCCAAGCCUCAGGUGCCAAAGCCAUUCUUCACUGUUGGUGAUGGCACUCAAACACCUUUGCAUCAUACUGGAUGUUCAAAGGAAACAUCUUGUUCUUGGACAUUUUCACAUAGGCCAUUAAUCUCCAAUUGUUGUCUCUAAUUGUCAGAUGACAAUUCUUCGAGUAAAAAGUAUAUCCUCUCUCCAAAAGUUGACCUAAGCUGAUCAGGUUCUGCUUUAUGGCUGGGACAUAAUACACAUCGGCGAUGUAGCUGGAAUCGUCAUUCUUCAACUUGACUGGGAUGUUGCCUUUACCUUUGAAUGGAACCUUUGUGGUAUCUCCAAAAGUAACUAGACCUUGCUUGGUCUCAUCUAGAUCACCAAAUAACUCUCGGUAGCCGCACAUGUGAUUGCUGGCUCCAGUAUCUAGAUACCAUAUAUCUCCUUGUUUCUCAUCAAGUCCUUGUUGGACAAGAAAUGCAGCUUCUUCUCUGUCAUCCUUCUCUACAUAGUUGGCUUGCUCACGUAUCUCCAACGGAGCUUUCCUGCAUUCAGUGCUAUAGUGCCCAAAUUGAUUGCAGCUAUAACAUUUGAUAUUCCUCUUGUCACGGUUAUUGUAACCGCCUCCUCUUCCUCUAGGAGUGAAUGCUUGUUGGCCUCGGCCUCCUCUGGUGGUGUUUCUACCACCUCUUCCUCUGAAGCUUGUAUUCCAAGAUCUUCCUCUUGUUGAACCUCUUCCUUGGAAUCUCUAGAAUCCUCCUCUGGAUUGUUGACUUCCUGCUUGAGUGGUGUAGCCACUUGAUGAAGUCUCCCCUUGCUCAUAUCUGUCCUUGAAGACAGCUUUGCUUGUAAGGCAUGCUCAAUGGCCUUAUCUUCAUUUCGCUUUACAAUCUUCUGCUCAUGAGCUUGCAAAGAACUCAUAAGCUCAUCACUGUCAACUUGUCCACUUCCUUGGACUCUUCAAUUGCGACAACAAAUUCAAAUUUUGGAUCUAUGGAUCUCAAAAUUUUCUCAAUAAUUCGAGAAUCGAUGAUGGCUUCUCCAUUUCUCCUCAUCUGGUUGACUAUCACCAUAAUCCUUGUGUGAUAAUCAGAAAUAGACUCGAGGACUUCAUUCAAUAAUUCGAAUUCUCCUCUCAAAGAUUGAAGACGAAUCUUCUUGAUUCUGUCAGCACCUUUGUAUUUCUGUUGGAGAGCCUCCCAUAUAUCAUGUGUUUCAGCGGAAGCUAUUAUCUCGAAUGUAUCUUCAUCAAGACCUUGAUAGAUGAUGGUCUUUGCUUUGUUGUCCUUCUUUCUGUUGACUUUAAGGGCUUGCUUCUGUGCCUCUUGUAAAGCAUCUUCUCUUUCUUUGGACUCUGGUUCAUCAUAACCAGUUUGUACAAUAUCCAAACACUCUUGUGACCCAAGGAAUGCCUUCAAUCUGAUGCACCAACUAUCAUAGUUGUCUUUGGUCAGCUUCGGGAUGAGUGUAUGUGUACCUUUUGUAGUCAUUUUUCUCUUGUAAUGACUAUAUCACAUUUCUGGGAGCCUAAUUUGGCCAAACGGACACUGUAGAUCGAUCCAGAAUGGUCCAAAUAGUAGGGAACCGGUCUGACUUUGUAUAAAUCAGGUCAGAAAAUGGGUGAAUCGGUCAAAAAACCAAUUCUGUACGGCGGGCGGUUCGCUGGGUUGAACCGGGAAUAUUCGGGGAAUAUUCUGGGGAAUAUUCUCUCGGCGCGCUGGCGGCUCGGCUCGGCGCGGUGUACGGCGCAACUUGUGGCUCGGCUGGACUAGGACUCGGCUUACACGGCUCAGCUCGGCUUGAAUAUGGCGCGCGUGGACGUCAGUCGCCGUCUACCUCUGGGCGCGUGGGCUGCGCGUGGGAGAAGAAUGCAGAAUCUUCAGGCGGCGCGUGUGAGCUACCUCCGGCUCCGAUCAGGAUGAUUCUUGCGACAGUGAGUUCGUCUUGAUGAGCUCUACACUGUGGAAUGAUCAAAACUUGUUUUGGACAACUUUGAAAAUUCAGAUAUACCCCAAAACUCUUCUGUUUUCUAACGAACGGGGCUCUGAUACCAAUUGUUGGUGGGAGUAACCACUGGUGGUGGCUUUGAAACAUUUAGAGGGGAUAAAACACAAGGUUUUAUUACAAAAUCCGAAGCUUACAAUUAACACAAAAACUUAACACAAUACACGCCCUCUCUUUUUCUUUCUCUUUCUAGUGUUCCUCUCAAUUCUCUCCACACAAUUUAACAGAAGCUGGGCACUCUAUUUAUACACGAAAUCAGAAUACAAAAAUUCAAACUUUCCAAGUGUGAAGGCAGCUGGCGGCCGGUGGUGUGAAGGCGGCUGGCGGCUGCGGCUGGUCUGUGGGUGGUUGCCUUCCUUGACCUUCUAGAUGUUGAGUUUAAUAGUCAACAUUUAUAAGCCAAAGAAUGCCAUGAAACAUUCCCUAUAAUUGAAGCAAUCUGCUGUUUUUGUCGCUGAAAUGGCUCCACUGUCUACUGAAACGGCUAUGAUGAAAGGUGAUGAAAUAGUGCUUUGAAACGGCGUCGUCUUCCUAUCAAAAUGUAUAUUUCUGAUUUGGUCCUUGGCUGUUUUGACAAUUUUCUAAUCAAGCCCCCAGAUGAAUUGUAAUUGGAUCCCUUGAUUUUAGUUCCUUUUCCAGUUUAGUCCUUGGUUUCAAAUUGUUUCAAUUAAGUCCCUAAUUGGCCAUCAAACUUCAAUAAUUGGACCCCAUAACUUUAAUUACUUCCAAUAAAAGCCUAAAUUGACUUUAAAAAAAUCAAUUAUCUUGCAAUUAAACCCUCUAUAAAUUUAAUUAAACCUUGGAUAAAAUUUAAUUGAGUCCAUAAACAUCUUAUUUUGAACUUUUCUUUCUCAAUUUGAAUAUUUUUUAGUCAAUAGGGCUCUCAUCAGUAGAAAAUAUAACAUAAAAUUUCAAUUCUUGUAUUUCUGAAUCUCCUCAACCAAUUCCUAGCCAUUUUAUGAGUGUUUCAACAUCCUUUUCUUACUCCUGUUAUUAUUAAUUUUUUAUUCCUUCUUAAUAUAAUUUUUUUUUGUAUUUUUUCAGUUUUUGUAUGAGAACCCAAAAAUGAAUAACAAUAAAAGAGGUACUAUCAGUCAUUGUCUAAAUGCUUUCCUACAAACCUGAAAAAAUUAAGAGUUCACUACCAGCAUUCUAGUCUUAUGCUAUUUGUAAUUUCAUUCAGAAAUACAACUUACCUAACUCUGCAAUUUUCUUCAAAGCAAUCCUCCACCAAUUCACUCGCUCCAUCUCCUACUUGAAACGCUUUUAAUGAUCCAAUAAUGCUAUAGCGACUUCAGAUGGAUCCACAUCAUAGAAUACUAGCAAAACUAUGCAGUCAUUCCUCUUACACUCCAUGAUCAUUACAAGUUCAUCGAAGCACCACCUCGACCAAGCAUAAUUCAACAAUUAUUUUUCUCAUUGUUAUUUAUUUUGUUAUUUAUUAUUUUUUAAUUAAUUAAUUUUUCAAUUUUAUUUCUCAUCAUUUUAUUGAUGGGGGAUUUGAUUUUGUUAUUUUUGUAGGUUUAUCUUCUAUGAGGUUGGUUACAGUCUCAUAAUUUAGACUACAAGUUUUGAAAAUUAGGUUGAGUUCAUUUUAUUUUUUUAGGUCAUUUUUAAAAAAUUGAUAUUUUUUUUAAAUCAUCUUUCAACAUUGGGUUGGUUAGGGGUUCAAUUUCAUGAAUUGUUUUUUAUAUUAUUUCAAUCUCAUGUCUUGAGUCGUAAUUUAGUGGGUUAACACAUGUCCUUUUGUUUUUCUAUUGUUUUUUUAGAUUGGAUUGUUUUUCUCGGUUUUGCCCUUCAACAUUACAUCAUUUGAGAUUUGAGCUUUGUUGUUUUAUUCAUUUUUUCCUACAAUGUUAUCCUUGUCUCAGGAUUAGGUUAUGUAUUUGGCUAACUGACUUGGGUGGAUUAGUCAAGUCAAUUUUUUUUGUUUUUUUUUUAAUUUGAUUUGAUUUUUAAUUAUGUCCUUUAACAUUUGAUUGCUUAGAUUUGAGAUUCAUAUUUUUUUUUAUAAGGUUGUCACACUCUCAUUUGAUUUUUUUGCUUCAUUUUCAAAUAUUAUAAGGAUAUAUUUCUGUAAUAUUGACAAGCGUUUUUUUUUUAGUUGAUCAUUGUGAAUUUUUUUUAGUUCGAUUUGUUUAUUGUUGUUGUCUAUUUUUUUAAUUAUAUUAUUAAAUUAAUUAUAUUUAUUCAACUAAGGCAACUUAACAACCUACGUCUUUAAUUAUUUUUAUUUAAAAAAUAACACUAUCAUCACCUCAACAUCUUUUUUAAAUUGAAAAAAACUUUGCCCUACUAGUAAUACAGUUCAGGUAAAUAAUCUAGUUACAGCUAAUCACGUGGCCACAAAGCCCCAUUGGGAUUCAUAUUCCAUAAGAUUGCUCCAAUAUUAAAGAACUCUAAAAGGUAUGGGGAAAGCACUGCAGCUUCCCCACGCCUUUUAAUUAUACUUAUAUAUAAUAAUAAUAAUUAUUAUAAUAUAUAUUAGUUUUCUUUUUCAUUAUUUUUCUGUAUUUUUUUUUGUUUUUAUGCCUUUAUGGGUUUUUUUGAGCUUAUUUCUUAGUUUUUUUUUCCUUUAAAUUUUGUUUUUUAUUUAAUUUAGUUUGUUAAUUCAUCCCGAGUUUGAUGAGUUAACCUGAUUUGACGAGUUAACUAGAAUUUUUUUUUCUUUUUUUCUUUUUUUCUUUUUAAUUAAUUUUUUCAUUUAGUUUAGUUUGUUAAUGUUAAAUUUCUUUCUAUUUAAUUAUCAGACUUUCAUGACACGUAUUCCAAACUUGACAGGUUAACUCGUCAAUUUUUUUUUGUAUUUAGUUAUUAAACUUUCAUUACGCGAAUCUAAGGUAUGACAGGUUAUCCUGGUUUGAAAGGUUAACCCAGUUAAUUUAGAUUUUUUUUUCUUUUUCUUCAUGUUGGUUUUUUUUCUUUGUUUUUUUCUUUUUAAUUAAUCUAUUUAAUUUUCACACUUUUAUGACACGACCUCGCAACUAGACCCACAUUCAAGGCUCUUGGGCGUAGGAAAUUCACUGUAGCAGCUUUGUUUUGUUUUUUUUUUGUUACAUUUUUUUUUCUUUUUUUUACCCAAAAUUGACUUCUUUGUCUUUGUUUUUUUCUUUUUUUUUUCUUUUUUUUCAAAAUUAUCUUUACUAAUGUUUUUAAAUAUUGAGCUGUUUGAAAAUUUAACUAUGUAGUUUUUUUCUUUAAAACAUUGUGGAUUGCUAUAAUAUUCUCAUACAUUGUUUUUUUUUCUUUUUAUGAUUUAUUUAUUUUUUUUUCAAAAUGGUCUUAGUAGAUUUUAUUUUUUUAUAUAUAUAUUAAGUUGGUUGAGAAUUUAGCUUUGUAGUUUUUUUUUUAAAUCAUAUGGAUUGCUACAGUGUUUCUCCUAUAUAGUUUUUGUUUUGCUAUAGUGUUUCCCCACAUAUUUUUUAAAAAAAUUAUAUUUAUCGAAUUUAUUUUUUCAAUAUUGAGCUGAAUGAUAAUCUAGCUUUAGCUUUCCCCACAUUUCUUUUCUUUUUUUUUUCUUUUUUUCCAAAAUUUUCAAUUUUUACAAAAAAAAAUUUUCAGAAUUAUUUUUGUUGAUUUUAUUUUUUUACUAUUGAGCUGGUUGAAAAUUUAGUUUUUUUGUUUAUUUAUUUAAAACAUUGUAGCUUUCCCCACGUGUUUUUUUUUCGCUUUUGUUUUCUUUUUUUUUACAUGUUUUUUUUCAUUUAUUUUACCCAAAAUUGACUUUUUUUAUAAAAAAAAAAGUCUUUGUCGUUUUUUUUAUAUUGAUCUGGUUGAAAACUUAGUUUUGUAGCUUUUUUCAAAAAAAAAAAACACUAUGGAUUACUACAAUAUUAGCUUCUUUUUUUUCUUUUUAAUUUUUUUUGUUUGAUUUAGUUUGUUAAUGUUAAUUUUUUUUUAUUUAGUUAUCAGAUUUUCAUGAUACGGAUCUCGGGUUUGAUGGGUUGACCUAAUUUGACGAGUUAUUUUUUUUUCAUUUAGUUUAGUUUGUUAAAAUUAAUUUUCUUUCUAUUUAAUUAUUAGACUUUCAUACUUUCAUGACACGUAUCCUGGGCUUGACGGGUUAACUUGGUUUGAUAGGUUAACCCAGUUAAUUCUGGGUAAACCUGUCAUUUUUUUUCUAUUUAGUUAUCAAACUUUCAUGACGUGAAUCCCAGGUUUUAUGGGAUAACCUGGUUUAAAGGAUUAACCUAAUUAAUUCAUUUUUUUUAUUUUUCUUCAUUAAUUUUUUCCUUCCUAUUGAUUUUUUUUCUUUGUUUUUUUUUUAAUUAGUCUAUUUAAUUAUCACAUUUUUAUGACACAACUUUAUAGCCAGACCCACAUCCAAUAUUCUUGAGUCCGGUGUUGCAGUCAGGCUCACUUAAACUUGGGUCAUGCAAGUUUAAUUUUAUUAUUAAUAUUAUAAAUAUUACUUUUAGGUCAGGCGUUGCAGCCAAAUCUAAGAUUCUUAGGUAUGACCUUGCAAAAAAAUCCAAGAUUUUUAAUUUUUUUUUUUUAAUAUUUUUAUAAAAAAAAAUGAUCCACGGCAUCGCGCGGGUCAUUUGUCUAGUUCAUUGGAUGGUGUGUAUGGUAGGCUAGACAUGUGAAGCCCAUUAAUUGAUUCUGUCCAUAUUAAAUUGAGUCACUGAGUCACAAAUCAAAUUGAUUUGACUGUUGGGCUCUAAGGACACUGAGUCACAAAUCAAAUUGGCCUGCUUCAUACAAAAAAAUGAUGCAAAUUCAUAGCUGUACACUGAGUGCCAAAUUAUUUUAGGUUUUAAAAAGCUUUCAAUAUAACACCAAAUCUAAAACAAAUUCAACUCAGCCCAUCAUUAUUUUCACAUUUAAUUUCUUUUCAAAAAAACACAUAAUAAUUUCGUUAUCAAAAUCAUAACGGUCACUGCAAUAAUAAUUUCUAAAAAUAUGAGAAGCUAUUUCUGCUUUAGCUGCUACAUGUACAUCAUCACUAGAGUUUGAUGAGCUUCUAUCAUCAUCAGUUCCUUCCUCUUCGUGCAGCAUUCGUACACCAACCCUCUUUAUUUGAAAAACCAGAUCAUCUGUAAACACUGAAACACUGAAUUCAUCACCGUUAUCAAACGCCGGAUCAUUGGACCCAAAUUUCCAAUAGCUUAGCCAUAACAAUUCAGAUUUUUCAGCAGAAAUUCUAUCAGAAAAAUGGAGGGGUAAAAAACCCAGACUAGUCUACCCUUGGUAUUGUUCCUGAUUUCAAGAUAAACAUGAAGAUACGGAUUGGAUACUGGCGUAGCAGAAAACCAUGUGAAUAGAUUAAAGCCACAUAUCCGGUGUGUAGCAGGUGAGGAUAUUUUGAAUGACAUGUGCUCUUCAAACUCUUUCUGAAUUAGCCCUUCCUCCACAUAGAACUCCAACAUCUCAUUUUCAUCAUAUUCAAGGACAACAUUGAAUUUUCAUCAUAUUCAAGGACAACAUUAAAUUGAUUUAAGGUAAUUCAAAUUAACUUAUCUAAUGUUUUGCAGUGCUGGCUAAAAUGUUUUUUUGUCUAAAUUUUGAUUUUUUUAGUGUUUUUUGAUUCAUUUUAAUGUAUUAAUAUAAAAAAUAAUUUUUGGAUUAACCUUUUGGAUUAACUCUAGCUUAAUCAAAUCUUGGAUGUGAACUAAUUGAUCACAAUCACGAGCUAUGGUAAAAGGGAUCAGAUUUGCAAUUCUUUGCAGCGAAUAACAAUAGGACACGUCUAACCCAACCGAAUUGAAUGGAAGCUCCAGGAGCGUUUGAAGCAUUUUGCAUUCCGCUAAUGAAAGGUAAUUGAGUGUACCAAUGUCCUUAAUGCUUGGUGGAAGAAAACAAAUUGGAGUUCUACUAAAAUUUUGUGCCGUCAAAGAGUAUGGCAAUGUAAACGAGGUAAAUCUGGAAUUUUUCAUUUCUGAAAACCUGGAGGGAGAGAAUAGCUUCAAUUGAAGAGAUGUAAUGUAAGAUGUGCUUGCAACAAUUCUAUCACUUUGAUGCAACCUGCGUCGCUCUAAAUCCAUAUUCAAGCUCUCAAGUUUUGAGCAACCACACAAAACAAGCUCUUCAAGUGCUCAUUUCUUUUGGAAGUUCCACAAGACUUUUACAAUUCUUCAUAUUUAAGAUCACGAAUAUUUAAGAUCACGAGACAAUGUAAAUCACCAAUAGGUUCAGGACUAAAUAGAUGCAGUUUUCAAGUAUUAUCUUUUCCAGGCCUGGGGAUCCUGAGAAGUCUGGGGUUCUGAUGAGGUCAUGCGAGCCACGCAGAUCAAGAAUUUUCAAAUUUGGAAGAGUCUGCAAAAACAAUUACAUUUAGUUGUAAACAAAACUAGAUACUUACACUUGUUUCUUUCAAUACUGUAAAGGCUUCCAUGUGAUGCCAUAUUCUUUGACAUUUGGGUGAUUCUUGACGAGCAAUUUCCCUUCUCAUAUCUCUUACGAGUUGAUGCAUCCAUAACUUUUUUAUAAUUUUUUAUUUUGACAAUUUCUACUAGACAUCUAUUAAUGAGAUUGUCAAUUCUAAAUAUUGCACCUAUACCGAGUCCAUCUAGUAUCCUAACUGCAUAAUUGUAAUCCAUUAUAUUGAAGAAACAAGCAAUAUCAAGAAAUAAGUUCUUCUGAUUAUCAUCAUCAAGAGAGUCGUAACUUGUUGCAAGAACCUUUUGAACUUGAAAAUUCGGAAUCAAUAACACGUAGGGCCAAUGGAAGUCCAUUACAAUGACACUAUUCUCCAAGAGUCCUCUAAAAAAUCUUCAACUGGGCAUCCAAAGACAUGCCAACUGAAAAGCUCAAGUGAUUUUUUGUUAUCUAGAGGUUCAACUUUGCACUUGAUACACUCACCAUCAGCUACAAUCGAAGCCUUAUUUCUACUUACAAUGAUUUUACUUCCUUGGAAAAGCCAAUUUUGAAUGCCAACAAUUGCAUUGAAUUGGUACCAUUUGUCUACAUCAUCGAGAACAAUAAGAGUUCUUCUGCAACAGAAUGCACCCUUAAUCUUUAUAAUCCCUUCAUCGACAUCAUUUAUCUCAUCAGCAGUCUUGAUUAGGAUAUCAGAAAGAAGUUCCCUUUGCAGACAAACUACACCAUUGGAUUCGUUUGACUUUUCUCUAACAUUUGAUAGAAAGCUCCUGCCUUCAAAUUUAUAAAGAUCAAGGGUGCAUUAUGUUGCAGAAGAACUCUUAUUGUUGCUCCUACCUUCUCCACGAUAGAUUGGACAACCUGUGCCUCAUACCUGUAUCAGAAAGAAAAAUGUAAUGUAUAAUUCUCUCCGUAAAGUUUCAAUAUCUUAGCAUCCUGGAAAAAAGAAAUCAAACCAGGAUGUGCGUUAAUGAUGGAUUGCUACUUUUGCAGCUAUGUUAUCACCACAUAUUAAAACCAAAAAAGGAAUAAUGUAGAAAUCUUUGCUUCUUCAGGUAGUCAAGGAAAAAAAAAGAGAAAAAAGUAUCUUUUAUUUUUAUUUUCCUUGUAUGUUCUCUGAGUUGGGAGUGUUAUAGUUUCCCUAAAUUGUAGUGGUAUUAUCACUUAUCGUCUAAAUGCUUGACUACAAACCUGAAAAAAUUAAGAGUUCAGAACCAGCAUUCUAGUAUUAUGUUAUGUGUAGUUUCAUCAAGAAAUACAACUUACCCAUCUCCUAAAACCAUUCCUCCUAAAUCUGCAACUUCCUUCAAAGCAAUCCUCCACCCAUUGACUUGCUCCAUCUCCUUCUUGAAGUGCUUUUUGUUGAAUAAACUCAAUCCAGAAGCUCCCAGAUGGUCAAAGAAGGCAACCACUAGCUGCCACCCACCAGCCGCCACCCACCAGCCGCCAGCCGCCUUCACACUUGGAACAGUUAAUUUUAUAGUUUUUGAUUUCGUGUAUAAAUAGAGUGCCCAGCCUCUGUUAUAUUGUGUGGAGAGAAUUGAGAGAAACACAAGUAAGAGAAAGAGAGAGAGAGGGCGUGUAAUUGUUAAGCUUUAAUUAAUUGUAAGCUUCGGUUUUGUGUAAUAAAAUAGUGUGUUUUAUCCCCUCUGAGUGUUUCAAAGCCACCACCAGUGGUUUCUCCCACCAACAAUUGGUAUCAGAGCCCCGUUCGUCGGAAAACAGAAGAGUUUUGGGGUAUAUCCGAAUUUUCAAAGUUGUCAAAAACAAGUUUUGAUCAUUCCACAGUGUAGAGCUCAUCAAGACGAACUCACUGCCGCAAAAAUCAGCCUCAUCGGAGUCCGAGGUAGCCCACACGCGCCCCGAGGUUGAAGACGACUGAGCCACACGCACGCCAUAUUGGAGCCGCGCCGAGCCGUUAAGCCGAGUCCUAGCCGCGCCGCAAGCCAAGUCCAGCCGAGCCGUACUCCCGCCGAGCCGAGUCGUCAUCAAAGCUCAGCCGAGCCGAAAGAAUAUUCCCAGAAUAUUCCCUAGAAUAUUCCCGGUUCAACCCAGCGAAUCGCCCGCCGUACAAAAUUGGUUUUUCGACCGGUUCACCCAUUUUCUGACCCGAUUUCAACAAAGUCAGACCGGUUCCCGACUAUUUGGACCAUUCCGGAUCGAUCUACAGUGUCCGUUUGGUCAAAUUCGGCUCCUAGAAAGGUGAUAUAGUCAUUCAAAGAGCAAAAUGACUACAGAAGGUACACAUACACUCAUUCCAAAGCUGACCAAAGAUAACUAUGAUAGUUGGUGAAUCAGAUUGAAGGCAUUUCUUGGGUCACAAGAGUGUUUGGAUAUUGUACAAACUGGUUAUGUUGAACCAGAGUCCAAAGAAGCAGAAGAUGCUUUACAAGAGGCACAGAAGCAAGCCCUCAAAGUCAACAGAAAGAAGGACAACAAAACAAAGACCAUCAUCUAUCAAGGUCUUGAUGAAGAUACAUUCGAGAUCAUAGCUUCCGCUGAAACAUCACAUGACAUAUGGGAGGCUCUCCAACAGAAAUACAAAGGUGCUGACAGAAUUAAGAAGAUUCGUCUUCAAUCUUUGCGAGGAGAAUUUGAGUUAUUGCAAAUGAAGUCCUCGGAGUCUAUUUCUGAUUAUCACACAAGGAUUAUGGUGAUAAUCAAUCAGAUGAGGAGAAAUGGAGAAGCCAUCAUCGAUGCUCGAAUUAUUGAAAAAAUUUUGAGACCCCUAGAUCUAAAAUUUGAUCAUGUUGUUGUCGCCAUUAAAGAGUCCAAAGAAGUGGAUAAGUUGACAGUUGAUGAGCUUAUGAGUUCCUUGCAAGCUCAUGAGCAGAAGAUUCUAAAGAGAAAUGGAGAUAAGGCCAUCGAACAUGCCUUACAAGCAAAGUUGUCUCUCAAAGACAGAUAUGAGCAAGGGGAGACUUCAUCAAGUGGAUACACCACUCAAGCAGGAAGUCAACAAUCCAGAGGAGGAUUCCAGAGAUUCCAAGGAAGAGGUUCUUGGAAUACAAGCUUUAGAGGAAAAGGUGGCAGAAACACUACCAGAGGAGGCCGAGGACAACAAGCAUUCACUCCUAGAGGAAGAGGAGGCGGUUACAAUAACCGUGACAAGAGGAAUAUCCAAUGUUAUAGUUGCAAUCAAUUUGGGCACUAUAGCAUUGAAUGCAGAAGAAAAGCUCCGUUAGAGAUACGUGAGCAAGCCAACUAUGCAGAAAAGGAUGACAGAGAAGCAUCUGCAUUUCUUGUCCAACAAGGACUUGAUGAGAAAAAGGAGGAUAUAUGGUAUCUAGAUACUGGAGCCAGCAAUCACAUGUGCGACUACCGAGAGUUAUUUAGUAAUCUAGAUGAGACCAAGCAAGGUCUAGUUACUUUUGGAGAUACCACAAAGGUUCCAUUCAAAGGUAAAGGCAACAUCCCAGUCAAGAUGAAGAAUGGCGAUUCCAGCUACAUCGUCGAUGUCUAUUAUGUCCCAGCCAUAAAGCAGAACCUGAUCAGCUUAGGUCAACUUUUGGAGAGAGGCUAUACUUUUUACUCGGAGAAUUGUCAUCUGACAAUUAGAGACAACAAUUGGAGAUUAAUGGCCUAUGUGAAAAUGUCCAAGAAUAGGAUGUUUCCUUUGAACAUCCAGUAUGAUGCAGCAAGGUGUUUGAGUGCCAUCACCAACAGUGAAGAAUGGCUUUGGAUCAAUCUUGAUUUGAUCCUUGAAGGUGAAGAAGUACCAACAGUACUUGUAGAAGAACCGAUUGUGCCAGCAGCUGAACCACAAAGUCCGGUGUUUAUACCAGCAGCUGAACCACAAAGUCCGGUGUUUAUACCAGCAGCUGAACCACAAAGUCCGGUGCACAGAUUCCCUGUAUUCAACAGGAGGAACACACCAGGAGCAUCAUCAUCAACACCACCAUCAGCAUCCUCGUUAGAAGGACCAAGAAAGAUGCAGAAUCUUGAAGAGUUGUACGAUACCACUCAGGUAAUGGAAGAUACAACUCUGUUUUGUUUCCAUGCAGAUAGUGACCCAUUAAGCUUCAAUAAAGCUGUCACAGAAAAGAAAUGGAUAAAAGCAAUGGAUGAAGAAAUACAUGCCAUUGAGAGAAGAAAGAUACCUGGAAGCUGACUUAUCCACCAGAAAAGAAGAAAGCAAUAGUGGUCAAAUGGGUCUACAAGACGAAAGCCAAAUUAGUGGAUAAAGGCUACAAGCAGAGAGAAGGCAUUGAAGAGAGAAGUAUUCAUGCUUGGCAUGAUAUCUCUCGAUUGAGUUUAAAGGGGAGAUUUGUUGAAUAAACUCAAUCCAGAAGCUUCCAGAUGGUCAAGGAAGGCAACCACCAGCUGCCACCGACCAGCCGCCACCGACCAGCCGCCAGCCACCAGCCGCCUUCACACUUGGAACAAUUAAUUUUAUAGUUUUUGAUUUCGUGUAUAAAUAGAGUGCCCAGCCUCUGUUAUAUUGUGUGGAGAGAAUUGAGAGAAACACAAGUAAGAGAAAGAGAGAGAGGGGGCAUGUAUUGUGUUAAGUUUGAAUUAAUUGUAAGCUUCGGUUUUGUGUAAUAAAACAGUGUGUUUUAUCCCCUCUGAGUGUUUCAAAGCCACCACCAGUGGCUUCUCCCACCAACACUUUUCACGAUCCACAAAUGUUGUAGCAAAGCUCCUUGUUUGAUUUCUGACUUCAGACGGAUCAUAGAAGACCGGCAAAAUUAUGCAGUCAGUAUUGCUCUUACGUUCCAUGAUCAUUACAAGUUCAUCGAGGCACCACCGCGACAAAGCAUAUGCUUUGGAGAACACGAUUAUCGAUAUUUUUUAUUGUUGUAUUGCCUACUGGAGCUCUGACUUUAUAUUUUCUCCUCUCCCAAUUUCAUCAUCGUCUCUAAAUGUGUGAAUCCCUGCUUGAACCAGGGCUGUGUAGAGGUGAUCGGUAAAGUUCUUGCGGGUGUCUUCCCCUCUAAAACUCAAGAACACUUGAUAUUUACAAUUAGAAAACCGAGAAGAGUAGGAUUCUUGAUAUUUCCCAGCAGCCAUUUCGAGUCUAGCAAAGAUAAGACUUUACAAAGAUCUGGACAAAAAAAAAAGGAAUUGCAGGAUUCUAGAUAUUUCCCAGAAGCCAUUUCGAGACUAGCAAAGAAAAAAAGUUGCAGGAUGAAUGUCGAUAAUUCAAGAUCGAUAGCACAACAAUUAGCUGAAGUAUUUAUAUAUCAUUAUCCUACUUUUUCUUUAUAACAGCAAUCAACUCCCCCAGACCCUUUCAGAUAAAUAUCUGUACAUAUGUUAACCGCACUUGCUACCACGCAUUUAGAAGCACAGAUGGAGCAGGAAAGGAAAGUCAUUAAGGAUCCCCAUCUGGCUAUGUAAGCCUUAAUUAUUUAGAAAGCACACAUCUUGUAAUCCUUACAAAGCCCACGGGGGUGAAUUUGUUAGUUUAUAAUUUUUUGAGUGGCAUAAUAUGAUGAGAUGAUGAACAUGUAGUCACUAACAGUGGUUUAAUCUAAGCGAUUAUCAACAAAGAAAACAAGACAGCAGCUGGAUUGGAACCAAAGUAAACAAGAGAUAAGAAAGAGAGAGUACCUGCAAGUUUCCCUUCCCUUCUCUCUUCAGUUGUGGCUGCUGUUCUGUAUCAGUAAUCUAAGCGGUUCUGCUCCACAAUUUUAAGACAACCCUUCAAGUCUUUGUGGCACAAUAUUAUAAUAAAAUAUUUUAUUAUAUAGGAAUGCGAGGUAUAGUUACCAAAAGGGACAUUAGACACCCGCAUAAUCCAACUCAUCCACUCUCGCUGUGCCCCUGCUCUGGCCGUAUCUCUAUCCUCUCGCAUCCAAAACCAGCAUCAACACCACCCACCAAUAAGAAAAAGGCACGUGGAGGAUCAUGACUCUGAAUCAGCUACUGGGUCGGCUACCGAGUGGUGUUCCGUUUUGAGCCAUUGAGUAUUGCUGUGGAGUGGAGGGACAUUGAAGCUGCACAAUGUUUGGUGUCUUUGGCUAUAAAGUGUGGGCUUAAGGAAUCAGGGAUUACAAGUGCUGAUGGCAAGAGGGCUAUUGAGUGGGGGUUUUAUAAGAAUGGAGGUUCCAUGGAGUGAUAGUAAUAGGAUUCUGUUGUCAAAAGAGUGUGUGAGGUUUCCCGUUGACUUGGCUCGUCAGAAAAUUGGAAGAGAACUCGAGCGUUUUUUAGUUGUUUAAGAGAAAACAGCAAAUGGGCUCGUCAGAUAAAAAAUUACUAAUUAAAUUUUAUCAUGUGUUAUUUUUAUUUUAUUUUUUAUAUAAAAAAAUGAAAUAAAAUAGAUAAAAUAACAUGAAAAUUGGAAGGUUAACUUAUAUUUAAUAUGUCUUAUUAUAAAUGCAAAUUAAUAAAAUAAUAUCAUAUUACAUUUUUUAAUAUGAAACCCUUAUAAAUACUUAUAAAUAAAAGAUCUCAUGCUAUUUCAUGAUAAGCUUUCCAAGAAAAAAGAAAAAACUAUUUCAAAAGCUUUCCAGUUUUUUUGAUUUUACGGUUGAAAUCUAAAAAAGCAAACCUCUACUUAAUGAAACCUAAAAUAAUACAGGUUCUAGACCCUUCUUUGCAAAACUCCAAAAAGUGUAAUUGCGAGUCCUGUGUUUACCAUGGAAAGCACAAUUAUAAUUUCUAACUAUAUGAGAAGCUAUUUGUACUUUGGCUACGUGUGCUGCAUCAUCAUCAUCAUCGCUACUGUUGUGGGCAUUGAUAACUUCAUCCUUUCCUUCCUCUUCAUGCAACCAUUGUACACCAACGGUCCUUAUUUGGAUAGCUGGACCACGUGGACGCACUGAAAUACUCACGUCAUCACCAUUAUCAAAUGUAGGAUCAUUGCCCCCCUAAUUUCGUGUGCAAUAGCGAUUGGAUUUCCCGAUCACCACACGCGUACUGUUUGACAAAGGAUUGACAAAGCAAGGAUCGACCACUCGUAUUGUUUCUGAUUUCAAUAUGAACAUUACUAAAGCCACGGUAUGCUGACGUCACACAACUUAUGAACAGAUUAAAGCCACAUAUCCGGUGCGCAGGAGGUGAUGAGGAUAUUUUGAAUGAAAAGUUAUCUACAAACUCAUUCUGAAUUAGCCAUUUAUCCUCCACAUGAAACCCCCUUAACAUCUCAUCUUCAUCAAAUACAUAUACGGCAACGUUGAAUGUGCCAUCUAUAAAUGAUAUCUGUACCAUCAAAACAAUGUCUAUAAAAUGAGAAAAAGAAAAGUAUUCAAAUGUAGAUUUCCAAAACAAUAAAAUGGGUGAAGGAGGACCUGAAAUCUCGAUGGCUGUAUUUGAGCACUAACCGUUUCCAUUAUUGUGAACAUUUGAGAGUCUAACUUUUGGAUUAAUCCUUGCUUUAUCCGAUCUUGGAACUCGAUUAAGUGAUCACAACCAUCUCCUUCAGGCCUACUGUAUGGAUUUGCAAGUCUUUGCAGUGAAUAGCAAAAGGACACAUCUAACAACUCCAAAAGGAAUGGAAGCUCUGGGAGUGCCUGAAGCAUUUUGCAAUUUCUUAAAUAUAGGUGUCUGAGUAGACCAAGAUCCUUGAUGCUUUCUGGAAGAAAACGAAUUGGAGUUCCACUUAAAUCUAGACUCUCCAAGAAGCGUGGCAGUAAAAACGAGGUAAAUCUCAACAUUUUCCUCGUUGAAAACCUAGAGGGAAAGAAUAGCUUCAAUGGAAGAGAUGUAAUGUACGAUGCACUUGCAACAAUUCCAUCACUUUGAAGCAACUUGCGCCCCUGAUGAUGCUCUAACUCCAUAUUCAGGCUGUUAAGAUUUGAACAACCAUCUAAAACCAGCUCUUGAAGUGAAUUCAAUCUACUCAUUCCUUCUGGAAGCUCCAUAAGACUUGUACAAUUUCUUAGAUUUAAGAUUAACAAUCUUUGUAAAUCACCAAUAGAUUCGUGAAUUUGAACCAAACGGAUGCAGUCUUCAAGUAUUAGCUUUUCAAGGGCUGGGAGACCCGAGAAGUCUGGGGUUCUAAUGAGAUCUUGAGAGUGACGGAGAUCAAGAAUUUUCAAUUUUGGAAGAAACUGUGAAAAUACAUGAAUUUAGUUGUUAUCAAUUGAAAACGAGAGAGAUAACUAUAAAGAGACUUGAUACAUACCGGUGUUUUCCCUUCCAAGCAUCAACUAGACAACUUCUGGAUAGAUCAAGAACCACCAGCUUCUCCAAGCAUACGUGAUUUGGUAUGGAGCUCCAAGACAAUCCAUGCCAACAUAACCAUAUCAAAUUCCUGGGAAAGUGCUCAAAACUUCCAUGAAAAUUAGUGUAGUUUAGUUGGAGAAAUUUUACAUCUGUCAUCUUUCUAAAAGCAUUCGUGCUGAGGAUAGGAAACAAACUUGUUUGGCCAGUUUGUAAUUUUCCCUCAUAGGAAAAAUCAGAAAGCCAUUGUUGAAAGAAGUUAACCCUGCGGCGCUUUCGGCAAACCAUUGAAUCAGUACAGACAACUUUUGCAUAAUUAUCUUCCAUUAAUGCAUGCAUAUCAAUAGUAAGGCCACGCAAAUUUUCAGCAUCCUACAUAAUAAUAUUAAGAGUACAUGAGAAAUGAAAGUAAAUGAAAUAAUAUGUUAAGGCACCACAAACCAUUUAAGUAGAUAUAUUAAAAAAAUUGAGCUACUUACAGUAGUUCCUUUCAAAACUGUAAAAGCAUCCUCGUGACGCCAUAUUCUUUGACAUUUGGGAGAUUCUUGACGAGCAAUUUCCCUUCCCAUAGCUCUUACGAGUUGAUGCAUCCACAACCUUUUAUCAUUGUUGAUUUCAAUAAGACAUCUAUCGAUGAGAUUGUCAAUCCCAAAUCUUGCACCUUUAUCGAGCCCAUCCAGUAUCCUAACUGCAUCAUCCACAUCCAUUCCAUUGAUGAAACAUGCGAUAUCAAGGAAUAAGUUCUUCAGAUAAUCACCAUCAAGAAAGUCGUAACUUAUUCGAAGAACCUUAUGAACUUCAAAAUUAGGAAUCACUUCCAUUUGUUGUAAUGCACUUUCCCAUAUCUCUCUUCCUUUUCCAGACAAUGAAGAGCCAAUAACUCCAAGAGCUAAUGGAAGUCCAUUACAAUGAUGUACUAUUCUCCAAGAGUCUUCUACAAAACCAUCAACAGGGUCAGCUUGUCCAAAGGCAUUCCAACUGAAAAGCUCAAGUGAUUUUCAUCAUCUAGCGGUUUGACUUUUGCACCUGACCCACUCAAUAUCAUUAGCUGAAAACAGACCCUUAUUUCUGGUUGUUACAAUGAUUUUACUUCCUUUACAAAGCCAAGUUUGCAUGCCAAUGAUUUUAUUGAAUUGGUCCCUUUUGUCCACAUCAUCUAGAACAAUAAUAGUUUUUCUGCAACAUAAUGCAUCCUUAAUCUUCAGAAUUCCUUCAUCAGGAUCAUUUAUCUCAACAGUCUUGUUUAGGAUGUCGAAAAGAAGUUGUCUCUGCAGGCAAACUAUAUCCUUUAACCUAAAAUUUGAUAGAAAGCUCUUUCCUUCAAAUUCAUAAAAGUUAUGGUUAAAAACACUCUUAGCUAUGGUUGUCUUACCAACUCCACCAAUUCCAUAGAGUAAAGCAAUGGCAGCACCAUGGGACCCAUCUUGCAACCAUGAGUUGAUAUCUUGUACUAGAGGAUCUCUUCCAAUGAAAUGAGGGGUACAUGAAACAUUUUUUUGAUCCAAAUUCUUUAAGACUUCUCCACAAUAGAUUGGACAAACGGUGCCUCGUACCUACAUCAAAAAGUAAAAACAUACAACGAUAAUUAGUAGUCUCUCUAUAAGCAAUAGAAAUUAAAGCAGGUUGUGUGUCAAUGAUUUGAUAGUUUAAACCAAAUCAUGAUUGGAAAAAAAAAAAACAACGAAGAAAUCAUGAGUAUUUUAUUUUAUUUUUGUUAUAUGUUUUCUUAUCAGUACACUUAACUGAAAGAAAUUAAGAGUUCACGACCAGCAUUCUAAUCUUAUGCUAUGUAUAGUUUCAUAAAGAGAUACAACUUACCCAUCUCCUAGAACCAUUCCAGCUAAAUCAGCCACUUCCUUUAAAGCAAUCCUCCACCCAUUCACCCGCUCCAUCUCCUUGUUGAAGCUCUUUUCAUGUUCCACAAAUGCUGCAGAGAAGCUCCCUGUUUGACGUCCGACUUGGGAUGGAUCCACAUCAUAGAAUACUGGCAAACUAUGCAGUCAGCAUUCCUCUUACGUUCCAUGAUCAUUACAAGUUCAUCAGGCACCAUCUCGACGAAGCAUAGUCUUUGGAGAACACGAUUAUCGAUAUUUUUGAUUGUUGUAUUGCCUUCUGGAGCUCGAAAUCUAUAUUCUCUCCUCUCCGAAUUUCAUUAUCAUCUCUAAAUGUGUGUGAAUCCCUGCUUGAACCAGAGCCGUGUAGAGGUGAUCGGUAAAGUUCUUGCGGGUGUCUUCACCUCUAAAACUCAAGAACACUUGAUAUUUACAAUUAGGAAACCGUGAAGAGUAGGAUCUUGAUAUUUCCCAGCAGCCAUUUCGAGUCUAGCAAAGAUAAGACUUUUCAAAGAUCUGAACAAAAUAAAACAGUUUUCAAGAUUGAGAGAGAAAGGGUGGAUUGUAAAUUUAAGACAAGUCAUCCCCACAAGUCCACUCUCUCUAUGGUAUGGAACGUUUCCGCGUGAGGAAUUUUCCAUGGCUAAUUAAUGUCUAGGCGUGGAAAAUUUUGCAUGGAAAGUUUUGGUGCCGGGAAUUGAUGGCUAUUGACAUCGUGAAGUAAGAAUCAAGUUAGAAAAAUCUAAUUAAGAGGAGAAGUUUAUGGCUAUUCACAUCAUUUCGGCCAAAAAUUCUAUCGAAAAAUUAAGGGGUAAGAAACCCAGGCGAUAAGAAACCGCGAAGAGUAGGAUUCUUGAUAUUUCCCAGCAGCCAUUUCGAGUCUAGCAAAGAUAAGACUUUUCAAAGAUCUGAACAGAAAAAAAAUAAAAUAAAACGAGUUGCAGGAUUGAUGUCGAGAGUUCAAGAUCGACAGCACACCAAUAAGCUGAAGUAUUCAUAUAUUGUUAUCUUACUUUAUCUUUAAAACAGUUUUCAAGUUAUUUCCCAGCAAUCAAAUCCUCCAUGCCCUUUCUGAAAAAUAUCUGUACAUAUGAUUAAUUUAAGUGAUUCUAAAAAAUAUUUUUUUUAUUUUUUUUAUUUUUAUUUUUUAUUUUUUUUAUCCUUCAAAAAAAAAAGAGAGAGUACCUAUAAUCUUUACUUGUAAGACCAUCUCCAGGAGAAAAUGUUAUUUUGAAGAGUUUAAUUGAUAAAAUAAUAUUUUAAAUAGUAUAUAUAUAGUGUUUUUAUUUUUUUAAUAAGUUUAAUGUUAUUUUUUUAUAUGUUUAUAUUUAAUUGAUUUAUUUUUUUAUGGUCUUAUUUUGUUGGUUUUGAUGUUUUUAAAAGAUACGUAAGAAUAAUAUUUGUGAUAGAGAAAAACAAUUUUAUUUAAUAUUUUUUUUUAAAUAUGUAAAAUAAACAUAAAAAAACUAAAAUAAUAUUAAGAUGAGGAUGCUAAAAAGUCAGCCUUGGAAGUCGCUGUGAUAUAAUUACCAAAAGGGACAUUAGACACACUCACACGGUUCUUCUUACUUCACCCACCAGUAAGAAAAAGGCACAUGGAGGAUAAGGCUCUCCAUAUCUGACUUGGAAAGUUUACUAGGGCCUGUAAUUCUUGCUGCAUCAUUUGAAUCUGCUGAAAGUAAAGUAGAUUUACGAAGAAUUAAUUGAAAAACAAAGCAAUUGGUUAAAUUAAAUAAAUUACUCAACUAGCAUAAUUUUUUUAUUAGUAUUUCAAUUAAAUAAUUUGAUUUGUUUUUUAUUUAGAAUUUGAGAUUUAUGGAAUUUGAGGUGUUUAAUGGUUUGUUCUCAUAUAUAAAAAACUCGUGAAUUAGACUUUUUAUAAAUAAAAUUUAAAUUUAAAUAAAAAAAAUAUUAGUUGAACUAAAUCUUGCUAACUCCCAAUAAAAUUGAAUCAUAUCAACAUCAAAUAAUUAUUUUUAAAACAAAAAGUAAAUUAAUCUUAUUUUUAUUAAAUAAUUGACUCAAGUUAAUUAUUAUUAUUUUUAUAAAAUAAUUGACUUAAGUUAAUUGGAUAACGCAGUUAUCAAAACUUAUUUUAAAAGCGUGUUUAGAAAUGUGAUAGCGAUUAUUUUUUAAAAUAUUUUUUAUUUAAAAAUAUAUUAAAAUAAUAUAUAUUUUUUAUUUUUUAAAAAUUAUUUUUGAUAUAAGUACAUUAAAAUAAUAUAAAAAUAUAAAAAAUAUAUUAAUUUAAAAUUAAAAUAUUUAAUUUUAAAAAAAACACUUCUAACACAUAAUACCAUGCACACCCUAUAUUUGUAAUCGGACCAGUCUACAACUGGGGCCCAAGACAUGGGCAUGGUUUUAAAAUUGAGAGAGAAAGGGUGGAUUGUAAUUUUAAGACAAGUCAUCCCUACAAGUCCACUCUCUCUAUGGUAUGGAACGUUUCCGCGUGAGGAAUUUUCCAUGGCUAAUGCAUGGAAUUGAUAUAUUGACAUCGUGAAGUAAGAAUCAAGUUAGAAAAUAAACUUCAGAAGUUGAUGGCUAUUGACAUCAUUUCGACCAAAAAUUCUAUCGAAAAAUUGAGGGGUAAAAAACCCAGACUCUACCCUUCGUAUUGUUUCUGAUUUCAAGAUAAACAAGACGAUAAGGAUUGCAUACUGACAUAGCAGAAAACCAUGUGAAUAGAUCAAAGCCACAUAUCCGGUACUCUUGUUCUUCCUCCUCGUGAAACCACAUUAACAUCUCAUUUUCAUCAUAUUCAAGGACAAUGUUGAAUCUGUUGCCCUAAAGUUGUAUCUAUUCCAUCAUAGCAGAAUUUAUAAAAUGAGCAAAGGGAAAAUUUUCUAGAUAUAUAAGAGCAAAAAUGUAGAGUUGAAAUAAAGCAGAACUUAUAAAAUGAGCAACGGAGAUCAAGAAUUUUAAAUUUUGGAAGAGACUGUGAAAACACUUGAAAUCAGUUAUUGUCCAUUGAAAAUAAGAGAGAUAGCUGAAUAGAGAGACUAGAUACAGAGCAUGCCUUUCCAAGCAACAAUUAGACUGGUUCUGAAUUCGAUUAAGAGCCACAAGCUUCUCCAAGCAGAAGUGCUUUGGUUUGGAUCUUGUAAUAACCCAACCCUUUUAUUUUAUUUAUAUUAUUAUUAUUAUUUUCCUUGAAAAAUGAUAAUAAAAAAAUAAUGAAAAAAAACAAAUAAAAAAAUAAAAUAAAUGAAGAAUGAAUUAAAAUUUGGGUUAACGGUAACAUGAGUGAAAGUUUUGGAAUUUAAUUAAACUUUGGAUUAGUUUUAUUAACCAAAUUAAGAGCUUAAUUGAGGAAUUGAUAAGUUUGAGACUUAAUUGAACUUGAAAUUAGUUAAUUAAUGAAAUCAGGGGCUUAAUUAAAUAAACAUCAAAGUUUAGGACUGAUCUAGUUACAAUUGCAAGAAAUUAAAAGCCAAUGACCAAUUUGUAAAUGGCGCUGAGAUCUAGGGGUCCAAUUAAAAUGUAUCCAGGGGGCUUGCUUACAAAGCUUUCAAAACAUCAGACCAAAACGAAAAUGGCCAUCAACACUGUUCAUUUUCUUCAACGAACUAGACCAGAAACGGAUGCCCCACGAUCCGCCUCAUUAUUUAGAGGCGACCGCAUGGCAUUAUCUGGCUCUAUAAAAAGCCAGAGAAAGACCAGGCACUCCGGGGGGGGGGGGCUGGGGGAAGGAGAAACGUAAAGAAAAACAGAGAGAAAGAACGAACAUCAUUGAAAAACUAAAGGGACGCCCUUGUCUUCUUCUUCGGUGGCAGCUCCAAAAGCUCCAUUUUCAGCAGGCACUGCUGUUAUUGCUUGAGAAGACCUAAAAAUACAGAGGGAAAAACUGGAAAAGGGAACAAACCAGGGGACUAAGGAAAACCAAAAGAACCCGAGAAGGAAACAGAGGUAGAAACCCGGGGAGGACAAAGAAAAAAAAACAGCCGAACAGAGGAGAGGGAGUGAAAGUAGGAAACACAGAAUCCGCAGAGAAGAACAGAGCAUAUACGGGGAGACUAAAAGAAAAAUAGAAAAAAACAAACACAGGCAAAGGUUGCACCGAGAGAAAGCUAAAGAAAAGAAAGAACCAGAGGAAAAGUAAACGAAAGGAGGAACAGCACGCCAUCGCCUUCAUCCUGCUCCCAGGUAAGUGUCUCCAAUUUUGCAAAAUAAUUCACCAACACUGUGCCCACUAGACCUAACCUAAAAAAAAUAAAAAUAAAGAUAAAAUAAAAUAAAAACAAGUAAAAUAAAAUAAAAUAAAUAUAUGCAUGCAUACAUAAAAAAUAAAUUUGGUUUAUUUACUGAUAACAGAGUUAUGAAUAAAAAUACUUAUUUAAAUUUAUUUUAUUAUAUUUUGUUAUUAUUAUUUUCUAGCUACGUAAUAUUUACUAAUGCUAGAGUUGAAAAUAUUUAUAGUUGAAUAUUCAUUGACACUAGAGUCGGGAAUAUUACAAGCAAACCAUCAGAGCAUAAACCAAUAAUUUUUUAGGAAUUUAAAAUAAAAUCAACAAUGCAGCCUGUCAUAGACAGGAAGUUUAAGAAGUGAUAAUAUCUUUAUUUUUAUAUAAUCAGUCUUGUACCAUAGAAUCUAUGUUGAUCAGUUAGGAUUUCUAGUGAACAUAAUACUAGAUGAUGACUCUUUAAACAAGAUCAUUCCCCCUAAAAAAACAAGAUGUCAAGUGUCUAUGCUUUUCUCUUAUAAGAUUUCAUUUUUACAUGGUCGCGCGAAGUCCAAUGUGACAUAUCUUAAAGGGAAUCCAUAUCAACAUAACUACAUCAAAUUCUUGGAAAAGUGUUAAUAACUUCCAUAGAACUUGUGUAAUUUAGCUGGAGAAAUUUUACAUUUUACAUCUUUCUAAAUGCAUCCGUACGUGCUGAGGACAAGAAACAAACUUGUUUGGUUAAUUUGUACUUGUUCCCCCAAGAAAAACUCAGAAAGCCACUAUUGAGAGAGGAGUGUAGGAAGAAGACAUUGUUGAAAGAAGUUAAACCUGUAGCGGUUGCAGGCGCACCAUUGAAUCAGUACAGACAACUUCUGUACUUAUUCAUGCAUAUACAGGGUAAGGCCACACAAUUUUUCAGCUUCAUGCUUCCAAAAUAUUGAAAGUAAAUGAGAAAAGAAAGUAAAAGCAUGAACAUUUUAAGACACCUAAAUACCAUGAAGAUAGGAAAACAGAACCAGUUACUCUUACACUUGUUUCUUUCAAAACUGUAAAAGCUUCCAUGUGUGAUGCCAUAUUCUUUGACAUUUGGGUAAUUCUUGACGAGCAAUUUCCCUUCCCAUGUCUCUUACGAGUUGAUGCAUUUAUAAAUUUUUUUUCAUUUUAUUUUAACAAUUUAUGAGAUAGUCAAUCCUUAAUCUUGCAUCUAUACCGAACCCAUCAAGUGUCCUAACUGCAUAAUUCUCAUCCAUUCCAUUGAAGAAAUAAGCAAUAUCAAGGAAUAAGUUCUUCUGAUAAUCAUCAUCAGGAGAGUUCUAACUUUUUGCAAGAACCUUUUGAACUUGACAAUUUGGAAUCACUUCCAUUUCAUGUAAUGCACUUUCCCAUACUUUUCUGCUUUUACUAAAAAAUGAAGAACCAAUAGCACAAAGGGCUACUGCAAGUCCAUUACAAUGAUGUACUAUUCUCCAAGAUUCCUCCAUAAAAUCUUCAACUGGGUAAGCUUGUCCACAGGCAUGCCAACUCAAAAGAUUAAGUGAUUUUUUGUUAUCUAGAGGUUCAUCUUUGCACUUGACACACUCACCAUCAUCUACAAUCAAAGCCUUAUUUCUAGUUCUUACAAUGAUUUACUUCCUUCGCGAAGCCAAUUUCGCGUGCCAACAAUUGCAUUGAAGUGGUCCCAUUUGUCCAUCUCAUCAAGAACAAUAAGAUUUCUUCUGCAACAUAACGCAUCCUUAAUAUAAUUAAUCCCUUCAUCAACAUCAUGUAUGUCAUCAGCAUUGUUUAGGAUAUUUGAAAGAAGUUGCCUCUGUAGGCAAACUACACCAUUGGAUUCUUUUGACUAUUCUCUAACAUUUGAUGGAAAGAUCCUACCUUCAAACUUAUGAAACUGCUGGUUAUAAACACUGUUUGCUAUGGUUGUCUUCCCUACUCCACCAAUCCCAUAAAGUAUAUCAAAGGCAGAACUGUGGGAGCCAUAUUCUUCCAACCAUAAGUUGAUAUGUUUUACUAGAGGAUCUCUUCCGAUGAAAUGAAGGGAGAUAUGAAAUAUUUUAUUUGUCGUAUAAGAUCAUGGUCACAAGAAAUUGUCGUAUUUUUUAAUUGUUGGUCCGUUUAUGGUUUAAGAAAAGUCCUCUUCGAUAAAAAGAUCAUUAUUUUAUCGGGUAAAAUCUAACCACUCUAACGUCAAAAAAAGAAUUUAAUAUCCUGAAUACGUCUUACGUAUAAGAUCAUAACCCUAGAUAUUAAAAGAAAAAAUAUAUUUUUUUGAAGUUUUUUUGAAAUAUUGGCCUAGUUCUCGCGAUUUUAAUAAACUGGUUAUUAAAGUCAAAAUGCAUGCUAAUACAUAUUUUUGAAGUUUUCUUUGUUAUAUGAAAGUACAAUAUGAUUUUUUUAGAGACUUGGCCGUAUGUAUGAAAACAAAAUAUUUUUUAUGUUUUGCCGAAGACCAGGUAUUUUAAUAUCGAAUUUGUAUCUUUACAGUAUAAAAAUACAAACCGAUAUUAAUUAAAAUGCAGUACAUUUUUUUGCAGAAAAUCACAGAUUUUUUUGAAAAAAAAACAAUUUUUUUUUUUUAAAACCGGAACUAGCCCAGGUUAAGCCAGUGACCCGGCUGCUUGCUCAACGAUUCAAGUGAAUUAUAAUUCAGUUGCUCAUUGAACUUGAACAGUAAAGAGCAACAAUUACUGUUCAAGUGAAUUAUAAUUAAUUCACUUGAACAGUAAAAGAUAACAAUGAAAAAAAGAAAAUGCAUGCAGUGACAGAAACAAUGCAAUGUGAAGAGAAAUGUGUGAGGCUUACCUAGUAUCUGAAACAGAUGAAGACGAUUGCAAUGAAACUGCUGCGCAGGAUCGGAGGUGACUGAUUUUGGGGACGAUGAAGACGAUCAACGCUGGGUCUUUUUUCUUCUGGUUUUUCCCUUCCCUUUUCUUCCUGUUUUUCUCCCCUGUAUUCCCCUCUCAGCGGUUCUUGGCGUGGCUGCUGGGAUGAAGAAGAUGAUGAGCUGACAAUGGCGUUGGCAGUGCUGGUGCAGUUGUGAUGGAGAAUGGCAGUGGCUGGUUUCUGGAAGAAUUGAAGAUGAUGACAAUUUGGUUUUAUUCCCUUGCCUCUGGUUCCAAAGGUCAAGGGACAGCGACGAUGGAGGCUGGUUGCUGUUGGUUUUUUUUCUUGCUUCUGUUCUUCUGCUCCUCUGUUAUCGUCUCCCUAUGCUUCCCAGUUCUCCUUCCUGUCUCCCUCUUUUUCUUUUUAUUCUCCCUGUUCUCUCUCUCUCCCUCUCUGUCUCGUCUUUCUCCUUUCCGUUACCCCCCUCUCUCUGUUUUUCUCCUGUCCGUUGUCCUCUCUGGUCUUUUUUUUUCUGUCUUUCCUCCUCCUUUUCAUCGUCUUUCUCUGGCUUUUAGAAGCCAAAGAAUGCCCUGCGGUGCAACGUUCAGCUUGGUAACGACAUGUAGAGGAAUAGUAGCCGUGAAAUAUUCCCCAUAAUUGAAGCAAUCUGCUGUUUUUGUCGCUGAAAUGGCUCCACUGUCUACUGAAACGGCUGUGAAGAAAGGGGAUGAAAUAGUGCUCUGAAACGGCGCCGUCUUCCUAUCAAAAUGGAUAUUUCUGAUUUGGUCCUUGUCUGUUUUGACAAUUUUCUAAUCAAGCCCCCGGAUGAAUUGUAAUUGGAUCCCUUGAUUUUAAUUUAUUUUUCCGGUUUAGUCCUUGGUUUCAAAUUGUUUCAAUUAAGUUCCUAAUUGGCCAUCAAACUUCAAUAAUUAUGCAAUUAAGCAUCUGAUUUGAUCAAAUCAACUCUUUAAAAUUAUAAUUGGACCCCAUAACUUUAAUUACUUCCAAUAAAAACCUAAAUUGACUUUAAAAAAUCAAUUUUCUUACAAUUAAACCAUCUAUAAAUUCAAUUAAACCUUGGAUAAAAUUUAAUUGAGUCCAUAAACAUUUUAUUUUAGAUUUUUCUUUCUCAACUUGAAUUUUAUUUGUCAAUAGAGCUCUCAUUAGUAGAAAAUAUAACGUAAAAUUUCAAUUCUUGUAUUUCUGAACCUCCUCAACUAAUUCCUAGUCAUUUUAUAAGAGUUCCAGCGUCUUUUUCUCACUCCUGUUAUUAUUAUUUUUUAUUUUUUCCAAAUAUAUUUUUUUUGUAUUUUUUUAUUUUUUAUAUGGAAAUCUAAAAAUAGAUAACAAUAGAAGAGGUAAUAUCGUUCAUUGUCUAAAUGCUUUACUACAAACCUGAAAAAAUUAAGAGUUCACUACCAGCAUUCUAGUCUUAUGCUAUUUGUAAUUUCAUUCAGAAAUACAACUUACCCAUCUUCUAAAACCAUUCCUCCUAACUCUGCAAUUUUCUUCAAAGCAAUCCUCCACCAAUUCACUCGCUCCAUCUCCUUCUUGAAACGCUUUUCAUGAUCCAAUAAUGCUAUAGCGACUUCAGAUGGAUCCACAUCAUAGAAUACUGGCAAAACUAUGCAGUCAGCAUUCCUCUUACACUCCAUGAUCAUUACAAGUUCAUCGAAGCACCACCUCGACAAAGCAUAAUUUAACAAUUAUUUUUUUAAUUGUUGUUUGUUUUAUUUUUUAUUAUUUUUUUAUUGAUUAAUUUUUUAAUUCCAUUCCUCAUCAUUUUAUUGAUCAGGGAUUUAAUUUCCUUAUUUUUGUAGGUUUAUCUUCUAUGAAGUUGGUUACAGUCUCAUAAUUUAGACUACAAGUUUUGAAAAAUAGGUUGAGUUCAUUUUAUUUUUUUAGGUUAUUUUUAAAAACUGAUAUUUUUUUUUAAAUCAUCUUUCAACAUUGGGUUGGUUAGGGGUUGAAUUUCAUGAAUUUGUUUUUGUAUUAUUUCAAUCUCAUGUCUUGAGUCGUAAUUUAGUGGGUUAACACAUGUCCUUUUGUUUUUCCAUUGUUUUUUUUAUAUUGGAUUGUUUUUCUCAGUUUUGCCCUUCAACAUUACAUUAUCUGAGAUUUGAGCUUUGUUGUUUUAUUCUUUUUUUUUUUACAAGGUUAUCCUGGUCUCAGGAUUAGGUUAUGUAUUUGGCUAACUGACUUGAGUGGAUCAGUCAAGUCAUUUUUUUUGUUUUCUUUUUUAAUUUAAUUUUUUUUUAAUUGUGUCCUUUAACAUUUGAUUGCUUAGAAUUGAGAUUCAUAUUUUUUUUAUAAGGUUGUCACAGUCUCAUUUGAUUUUUUUGCUUCGUUAUCAAAUACUAUGAGGAUAUAUUUUUGUAAUAUUGACAAGCGUUCUUUUUUUUACUUGAUCAUUGUGAAUUUUUUUUAGUUCGAUUUGUUUAUUGUUGUUGUCUAUUUUUUUAAUUAUAUUAUUAAAUUAAUUAUAUUUAUUCAACUAAGGCAACUUAACAACCUAAGUCUUUAAUUAUUUUUAUUUAAAAAAAAACAACUUGGUUGGCCGGAAGAAUUGUCAUCUUCAAUGUCGGAUGACAGAGGCAAACUAUAUUCUUUGAUCUAAAGUUUGACAGGAAGCUCUUUCCUUCAAAUUUAUAGAAGUUCUGGUUAAAAACACUCUUAGCUAUGGCUGUCUUUCCAACUCCGCCAAUUCCAUAGAGUAAAGCAAUGUCAGCACCAUGGGAUCCAUCUUGCAACCAUGAGUUGAUAUAUUGUACCAGAGGAUCUCUUCCAAUGAAAUGAAGGGGGACAUGAAAUAUUUUUUGAUCCAAAUGCUUUGAGACAUUCUCCACAAUAGAUUGGACAAAUUGUGCCUUGUAACUACAUCAAAACGUAAAGUACAAUUUACGAUAAUUGCUAGUCUCUCUCUAAAGGAUAAAAAUAGACAUCAUUUAGCUAAGAAAUUAAAGCAGGUUGCAUGUCAAUGAUUGAUAGUUAAAUUUGUAGGUGCGUUAUCACCACCUACUAAAACCAAAUCAUGUUUGGAAAAAAAAAAAAAACAAACAAAAAAAAAAAGAAAUUAUAAGUAUUUUUUUUUCUUUUAUGUUUUCUUAUCGGUCUUCCUUUAAAUACUUAACUGAAAGAAAUUAAGAGUUCACGACCAGCACUCUAGUCUUAUGCUUUGUGUAGUUUAAUCAAGAGAUGCAACUUACCCAUCUCUUAAAUCCAUUCCAGCUAAAUCUGCAACUUCCUUCAAAGCAAUCCUCCACCCCUUCACCCGCUCUAUCUCCUCCUUGAAGCGCUUUUCUUGUUCCACAAAUGCUGCAGCGAAGCUCCCUGUUUGAUUUCUGACUUCAGAUGGAUUCACAUGGUAGAAUACCGGCAAAACUAUGGAGCCGGCAGUCCUCUUAUGUUCCAUGAUCUUUACAAGUUCAUCGAGGCACCAUCUCGACCGAGCAUAGUCUUUGGAGAACACGAUUAUCGAUAUUUUCGAUUCUUGUAUUGCCUUCUGGAGCUCCAACUCUAUAUUCUCUCCUCUCCGAAUCUCGUCAUCAUCUCUAAAUGUGUGAAACCCUGCUUGAACCAGGGCCCAGUAGAGGUGAUCGGUAAAGUUCUUGCGGGUGUCUUCACCUCUAAAACUCAAGAACACUUGAUAUUUACAAUUAGAAAACCGAGAAGAGUAGGAUUCUUGAUAUUUCUCAGCAGCCAUUUCGAGUCUAGCAAAGAUAAGACUUUACAAAGAUCUGGACAAAAAAAAAGAAAUUGCAGGAUUAAAGUCGAUAGUUCAAGAUCGACAGCACACCAAUAAGCUGAAGUGUUCAUAUAUUAUUAUCUUACUUUGUCUGUAAGACAAUUUUCAAGUUAUUUCCCAGCAAUCAACUCCUCCAUGCCCUUUCAGAAAAAUAUGUGUACAUAUGAUAAAUUUCUAUGCUGAACCACCAAAAUCGGUUGAUGAGAUCAUCAAUAAUUAGUUUCUAACAGUGAAUUAAUCUAAGUGAUUCUCAGUUACAGCAGAGUUACAUUCCACAAUAUAACAUAAUACUAAAUAGAUAAGAGAGAGAGAGUACCUGUAAUCUUCACUUUCCCUUCGCUGAUGUUCUCUUGUUAGUUCAUCAAUUUUCUGCUUUUAAGUCUCUGUGGUAUGGGCCAUUUCCGCGUUAGGACCUGUUUACUGGGGCCUGUAAUUCUUGUUACAAUUACCAAAAGGGACAUUAGACACACACAAAACACAUAAUCCCUCUCAUCAACUCACACGGUUCUUCUUCCUUCACCCACCAGUAAGAAAAAGGCACGUGCAGGAUCAAGCCUCUUCAUAUCUGACUUGGAAAGUUUAUUAGCCUGUAAUUUUGCAUCAUUUGAAUUGAUUCUAGCCUUUUCUUUCUGUUGAAAGCAAAGUAGAUAUAAGAAGAAUUACUCGGAAAAACAAAGCAAUUCCAUAGGUGAAAACAUGUCAGACUUGAUUAUAUUGGCAAAGAGUUGCUAGUGGGCACUCCGUAUAAAAUGCUGGCGAUGAUCAUGUUGGAAAUGCAGAGUGUUUAACUGAGAGUCCUGUCUUGAACUCUGAGGCUGAGAAACAUCAGUUGGUUUCUUCAAACUGGGACAACAACUACUAAAGAAGUAUGCAAAACUGGGGAAAGACAUACUGAAGAAUUUUGGAUGGUUAGAUCUCGGGAGGAAGGUUUAUCCUCGGGAGGAUGGAUUGCAUAUUCGACUUCCUAUCACUGAAGACCAAGAACACCCAUAAUUAUAGGAAGACUUCCAAAAAUAUUCAAUUUUUAUUCAUUUGUCAAAUCUAGAAUUUUUAAACUCAACCCGGUUCAAGGUCUUUGGUCACUAGGUUGCCUAGGUAAAUUUUGAUUUUUUUUUAAAAUCAAAACAUCAUUUUAGUAAGAAAAAAGUCAAUGAGUUGAAACUGGAUUUUUAACCAAGUUUUACCGGGUCAUCUCGGGUUUUGAUUUUUUCUAUUUUUUCUUAAACUCGGCUUGGUUCCAGCCCCGGGUCUCGGACCGGGUUUCAAAACUAUGAUCAAACCUAUUACAACCCUUUAUAUAGAAAUACUAAAAACAAAAACCCUUAUUAAUGUUAAAAAAAAAAAAUAGAAAAAUUAUUCUAUUCAAAUAGAAAAACUAAAAAAGCCCAGAAAUACAUAAUAGGAAAAGAAAAUAUAAAAAAAUAAAUUAACUAAAAAAAUAUUUAUUUCCAAUGAACUGGAUAGCAUGAAUUUGUUCAAUCAACUCGCCACCUAGUUUUUUAAAAACUCAAUCCAGAACAUUUCUCAACUUUCUCAAAUUGACUUGUAUAUAUUACACACACCCAACCUCUAACCCUCCCAUCUCUUCAUUUUUAUUAACUCAAACUCCUUUGUUUAUUGCUCUUGUAGGCUCAAGCUGAGCUGAACUCUGAACUAAGCUUAGUCCCGAGAAAACAGAGAAACUUCCCCCACACUUCCUCUCCUCUCAAAAACAAACCUCCCCAGUCCCCUCUCUCUCUCUCUUUCAUUAUCCAACAAUAUGGAUAGGCCACAAAGAAUAUCCACGAAAGAACCUCAAGCAAUCCUCUCUCCAUGCAGCAGUAGAAGUAGGAGACCAAGCAGUGAUUCAAACUCACCCGAAUUUGAGUUCUGGAUCCAAAACCCAUCUUUCCCUCAACCAAAUCUUGUUUCAGCUGAUGAACUCCUCCUUGUUGAUGGCGCCCUCCUCCCUCUCCACCUCCUCCACCACCCUGACCCUGACUCAACCGAACCCAAACCUCCCAACUCUCAAACUAACCCUGAACCCGAAAUUUCACCACCAAGCAUAACCAUGGAGCCAACAACAAGUUCCAAGAGUUGGGAAGGUACAAUAUUCAAGAAAGGUGACAGGAAAACUUCAACAGCUGCCAAGAAACAAGACGAGAAAAAUAAAGAAAAUGACAAAAAGAGAGACAGGAGUCAAAUGGAACGAGUUCAGCUAAGCUGAAUACCAACAUAUGGCCAUUUUCUUUUAGUUAGUUUACAGUAAAAAAGAAAUACAUAUAGAAAAAAAUAUAAAUAUAUUUAGUUGGAGAAACAAAAAUAUAAAAUAAAUCUAUUUUAGGAACAGUUUUAAAAUAAAUUUUUAUUUUUUUCAAAUAUGAGAUACGGGGAGAUAUCUCCUUCGUUCCCCCCUGUUCUCUGUUUCUUUUUUUCUCUUCGUUCCUCCCUCUUCUCUGUUUUUAUCUUCGUCCCUUCUGCCUCUCUUCCCUUCCUGUUCUGUGUUUGCUCUGUUCUUGCUCUUCGAUCCCCCUCCAUGUUCUUUUUUUUUCUUUUUUUUUAAAAAACCCUCCCUAUAGCCAGAGAAUGCCAUGCGGUUACCCAGAUAAUAAAGAGCUUAUGGGACUGUUAUUGCAGAAGUUUGAAAUUCUACAGAAGGUAACCUUGUGUAUGUGCAACAGCACAGGUCGAGCUUUUAAUACCUCCAUCACUGCCAUCGGGCCACUCCCACCGCCUCCUCCACUCAGUUCUUAAAAAAGAAGCAAAGAUGGGGUUUGUGAGGGUCUACACAAAACCACAGCUCUGCGGCGUUGGUCAUGCUCUUCAAGAUGAGGUUGCCGUCUAUUUCUCCUCAGACAUACUCAGCAAUUUCUUCAAGAUUUAAACCUGAAAUACUUUUAGCACUUGAUAUAGCUCCAACAGCCAACCAUUAAAAAGUCCAAGUGAUCAGAACUUUGUGGCUUUCGCGUCUCCUAGAACAACUGUUGCUGUCAAAAACCAGGGAAAUGAAAAACACAUUUCAAGAUCCUCAUAAUGUUGAUAAAAAGAGGGUCAAAAUGUUUGAGGUCAUGGGUGACAGUGCAGUGCUGGUAUAUGAAAACCAUGAUCAUGAUCAUUAAUCGAAAUCAUGAACAAAUUGCGUCUUUUGAUUCAGGAUAACGAGACUUUCAAACCAUGAUCUUAAAAUAACUGUUUUUUUAUGAAAAGAAAGAGUCUCAUAGGCAGUCAAAGUUAUUGGAUACUAUAGAAAAUUUUACGAUUUCCACUUUUUGUUAUUGAAUUUUAAUUCUAUCUUUUAAUUUGAUAAUUUUCAAUCAAAAUUAAUUUUUAAAUUUCUAAUUUUGAUAUUAAUUAUAUUUUAUUUUUACAAUAAAAAUAUCUAUGUUAAUUUAUUAUGAAAAUUUAAUAAAAUCCAUUCAAUUUUUAAUUAAAAUGAAAUAUAUUCAAAUUAUAAAAACCUCUCAAUUAUAUUUUAAAGACAUGCCUAUUUAUUUUUUAUUACAAGUGAACUUAUCUCGUGAGGAUAUAUAUAGAAACAAAAAAUUAAUUACCAAUUAAAUUUCAUCAUGUGUUACUUUUAUUUUUACAUAAAAAGAUGAAAUAAAAUAGAUAAAAUAACAUGAAAAAAAUGGACCUUUACAUAUAUUUUGGUCAAUAGAAAAUUGACACAUAAAAUAAGAUAUUUAAUACAUCUUAUUAUAAAUAUAAGAUUUUAUAAAUAAAAAUUAAUUAAUAAAAUAAUAUCAUAUUACAUUUUUUAAUAUGAAAGCCCUUAUAAAUAUUUAUAAAUAAAAGAUCUCAUGCUAGACAAAGAAAGGAGGAAGAUUACUAUUUUCUAGACCUUUCUUUGCAAAAUACCACCAACAGAUAUUGCGAGGACUGUAUUUACCAUGGAAAGCACAAUAAUAAUUUCUAAAAACACGAGAAGCUAUUUUUACUCUGGCUACAUCUUCCUUUGAUUGGAUAUCAUUUCCUUCCUCUUCAUGCAACCAUUGUACACCAACGGUCCUUAAUUGGAUAGCUGGACCAAGUGGACGCACUGAAAUACUCACGUCAUCACCAUUAUCAAAUGUAGGAUCAUUGCCCCCUAAUUUCAUGUGCAAUAGCGAUUGGAUUUCACGAACACCACGCUUGUAUAUCAUAGAGAUGACAAAGGCUCGACGAAGCAUGGAUAGACCACUGGUAUUGUUUCUGAUUUCAAUAUAAACAUAACUAAAGCCACGGUAUACUGACGUCACACAACUUAUGAACAGAUUAUAGCCACAUAUCUUGUGCGCAGGAGGUGAUGAGGAUAUUUUGAAUGAAAAGUUAUCUACAAACUCAUUCUGAAUUAGCCAUUUAUCCUCUUCUUCCUCCUCGUAAAACCACCUUGACUUCUCUUCUUCAUCAAAUACAGAUGCGACAACGUUGAAUACGCCAUCUGUAAAUAUUAUCUGUACCACCAAAACAAUGUCUAUAAAAUGAGCAAAAGAAAAGUAUUCAAAUGUAGAUUUCCAAAACAAUAAAAUGGGUAAGGGAGGACCUGCAAUCUUGAUGUCUGUAUUUGAGCACUAACUGUUUCCAUUGUUCUGAACAUGUGAGAGUCAAAUAUUUGGAUUAAAUCUUGCUUUAUCCGAUCUUGAAACUCGACUAAGUGAACUGGCUUUCCAAGGUAUUGCAGUGAAUAGCAAGAGGCCACAUCUAACGAAUCCAAAUGGGGUGGAAACUCUGGGAGUGCCUGAAGCAUUUUGCAAUUUCUUAAAUAUAGGGCUCUGAGGAGACCAAGAUCCUUGAUGCUUUCUGGAAGAAAACGAAUUGGAGUUCCACUUAAAUCUAGACUCUCCAAUAAGCGUGGCAGUGAAAACAAGGUAAAUCUCAACAUUUUCCUCGUUGAAAACCUAGAGGAAAAAGAAUAGCUUCAAUGGAAGGGUUGAAAUGAAUGAUGUAGUUGCAACAAUUCCAUCACUUUGAAGCAACUUGCGCCCCUGUUGAUGCUCUAACUCCAUAUUCAGGCUACCAAGAUUUGAGCAACCAUCUAAAACCAGCUCUUGAAGUGAAUUCAAUCUACUCAUUUCUUUUGGAAGCUCCAUAAGACUUGUACAAUUUCUUAUAUUUAAGAUCAACAAUCUUUGUAAAUCACCAAUAGAUUCGUGAAUUUGAACCAAACGGAUGCAGUCUUCAAGUAUUAGCUUUUCAAGGGCUGGGAGACCCGAGAAGUCUGGGGUUCUAAUGAGAUCACGAGAGUGACGGAGAUCAAGAAUUUUCAAUUUUGGAAGAAACUGUGAAAAUACAUGAAUUUAGUUAUUAUCAAUUGAAAACGAGAGAGAUAGCUAUAGAGAGACUUGAUACAUACCGGUUUGGCCUUCCAAGCAUCAACUAGACAGCUUCUGGAUAGAUCAAGAACCACCAGCUUCUCCAAGCAUAUGUGAUUUGGUAUGGAGCUCCAAGACAAACCAUGCCAACAUAACCAUAUCAAAUUCUUGGGAAAGUGCUCAAAACUUCCAUGAAAAUUAGUGUAGUUUAGUUGGAGAAAUUUUACAUCUGGCAUCUUUCUAAAAGCAUCCGUGCUGAGGAUGGGAAACAAACUUGUUUGGCCAGUUUGUAAUUUUCCUCCAUCAGAAAAAUCGGAAAGCCAUUGUUGAAAGAAGUUAAGCCUGCGGCGCUUGCGACAAACCAUUGAAUCAGUACAGACAACUUCUGCAUAAUGAUAUUCCAUUAAUGAAUGCAUAUCAAUGGUAAGGCCACGCAUUUUUUCAGCAUCCUGCAUAAUAAUAUUAAAAAGUACAUGAGAAAGGAAAGUAGAUGAAUGAAUAUGUCAAGGCACCACAAACCAUUUAAGUAGACAUUUAAAAAAAUUUAGCUACUUACAGUAGUUCCUUUCAAAACUGUAAAAGCAUCCCCAUGAUGCCAUAUUCUUUGCCAUUUGGGUGAUUCUUGACGAGCAAUUUCCCUACCCAUAUCUCUUACUAGUUGAUGCAUCCACAACCUUUGAUCACUGUUGAUUUCAACAAGACAUCUAUCGAUGAGAUUGUCAAUCCCAAAUCUUGCACCUCUAUCAAGCCCAUCCAGUAUCCUAACUGCAUCAUCCACAUCCAUUCCAUUGAAGAAACAUGUGAUGUCAAGGAAUAAGUUCUUCGGAUAAUCACCAUCAAGAAAGUCGUAACUUAUUCGAAGAACCUUUUGAACUUCAAAAUUAGGAAUCACUUCCAUUUGUUGUAAUGCGCUUUCCCAUAUCUCUCUUCCUUUUCCAGACAAUGAAGAGCCAAUAACUCCAAGAGCUAAUGGAAGUCCAUUACAAUGAUGUACUAUUCUCCAAGAGUCUUCUACAAAACCAUCAACAGGGUCAGCUUGUCCAAAGGCAUUCCAACUGAAAAGCUCAAGUGAUUUUUCAUCAUCUAGCGGUUCAACUUUGCACCGGACCCCCUCAAUAUCAUUAGCUGAAAACAGACCCUUAUUUCUGGUUGUUACAAUGAUUUUACUUCCUUUACAAAGCCAAUUUUGCAUGCCAAUGAUUUUAUUGAAUUGGUCCCUUUUGUCCACAUCAUCUAGAACAAUAAGAGUUCUUCUGCAACAUAAUGCAUCCUUAAUCUUCAGAAUUCCUUCAUCAGAAUCAUUUAUCUCAACAGUCUUGUUUAGGAUGUCGAAAAGAAGUUGCCUCUGUAGGCAAACUAUAUCCUUUGACCUAAAAUUUGAUAGAAAGCUCUUUCCUUCAAAUUUAUAAAAGUUCUGGUUAAAAACACUCUUAGCUAUGGUUGUCUUUCCAACUCCACCAAUUCCAUAGAGUAAAGCAAUGGCAGCACCAUGGGACCCAUCUUGCAACCAUGAGUUGAUAUCUUGUACUAGAGGAUCUCUUCCAAUGAAAUGAGGGGGUACAUGAAACAUUUUUUGAUCCAAAUUCUUUAAGACCUUCUCCACAAUAGAUUGGACAAACGGUGCCUCGUACCUACAUCAAAAAGUAAAAUACAAUGUACGAUAAUUAGUAGUCUCUCUAUAAGCAAUAGAAAUAAACAACAUUUAGCUAUGAAAUUAAAGCAGGUUGUGUGUCAAUGAUUUGAUAGUUUAAACCAAAUCAUGAUUGGAAAAAAAAACAAUGAAGAAAUCAUGAGUAUUUUUUUUUUUUGUUAUAUGUUUUCUUAUCAGUACACUUAACUGAAAGAAAUUAAGAGUUCACAACCAGCAUUCUAGUCUUAUGCUAUGUAUUGUUUCAUAAAGAGAUACAACUUACCCAUCUCCUAGAACCAUUCCAGCUAAAUCAGCCACUUCCUUUAAAGCAAUCCUCCACCCAUUCACCCGCUCCAUCUCCUCGUUGAAGCUCUUUUCAUGUUCCACAAAUGCUGCAGAGAAGCUCCCUGUUUGACGUCCGACUUGGGAUGGAUCCACAUCAUAGAAUACUGGCAAAACUAUGCAGUCAGCAUUCCUCUUACGUUCCAUGAUCAUUACAAGUUCAUCCAGGCACCAUCUCGACGAAGCAUAGUCUUUGGAGAACACGAUUAUCGAUAUUUUUGAUUGUUGUAUUGCCUUCUGGAGCUCGAAAUCUAUAUUCUCUCCUCUCCGAAUUUCAUUAUCAUCUCUAAAUGUGUGAAUCCCUGCUUGAACCAGGGCCGUGUAGAGGUGAUCGGUAAAGUUCUUGCGGGUGUCUUCACCUCUAAAACUCAAGAACACUUGAUAUUUACAAUUAGGAAACCGUGAAGAGUAGGAUUCUUGAUAUUUCCCAGCAGCCAUUUCGAGUCUAGCAAAGAUAAGACUUUUCAAAGAUCUGAACAAAAUAAAACAGUUUUCAAGAU
rnacentral:lncRNA from 1 species